rnacentral:lncRNA from 1 species
UUUUUUUUUGUAAAUGUAUUACCCCGACCAUAUGUAGUGAUUUACAUCAGCUCUAAUAAAUAUAGUUGUUUGCAAUGAUGCAGAGAAACCGAGGGUUUCAACCUCCUCUUAGAAGAAGAACAAUUAACCAGCUUUUAACUGGAGAGAAGUUUGUUUACAACCCUUGUAAAGCGUCAUCUGUUUUUGUUUUUGAAGUAAGCGUCAUCUGUUUUGGAACUCAGUGGGUGUAUGAUCUGCAUGUAGCAGCCAGCAGACGUACGUAUGCAUGACAAAUGACAUAGGAGUACAUGCUAGUUAAUUGCUGGUAGUAUUGUAAGGAUAAGACUGCGCAACGUCAAUCAUUCAACACAUAUACUACGAGGUAGUACUAGUAGUUUAGUUGGUUCAUCUGUGGGUUCUGCUUCUUCCUGGACGGAGCGUGCUGCGCGCAUGCAUGCAUGGCUUCACAUUUGCGCCGCAUUUAACACGCGAUUUUGAUGCUAGAGGCUUAAUUAACUACUAGAUCUAGUGAUUAUUAGUGUUGGAUUAGUAAAACGUUUCAGGCUUACGUAUCGGAUGACACAAGGAAGGAAGAAGCCGUAGCCAACAGCUAGCUCAAGGAAAUAUUCCAGCUUAGCUCUAGGUCAAACACUCACAGACGCGCAGAGGAAGCCGGCAGGCAGGCAGCCAGGUGUGUUCUGAUUACCUUCUAUCCUUUACAACGAAAGGAUGUUUUGUUGGUAGGCAGCUACAUACGCCAAAACCUGAUUUGCCUCAAGAAUUUGCUGCCUGCCGGGAAAGGACAGUGUUACUAAUUAAAAAAGACUCAUGGAAAAGUUCUACAAAUAGAGUCGAACUAGCCAAUUUUUUUGUUAUUCCGAAUUGCAGGCUGUGCGAAGAUUUCAGGAACUGUUUUCACAAACAGAAGAAGAAUGAUGGAGGGCCUGGCGGCGGGGCCGGGAUGGCGGAGGAAUAGGAGCAGCAUGCUGCGUGUAGAAUGGAGGAGAAGCGUGUCAGCGUGCUGCGCCAAGUCCACCUCAACCAAAACUACUAGUCGGAGCUAAGGCACCAGGAUUGCCCUCCACGUCAUCAGCCGUCUGAGUGGCAGUCAAAGGGAAGGUGAACCCAUAGGCUCGCCGACGAAGCCUAGAGGGAAGAGUUUGCCCUUGUCGCCAAGGAAAAGGGGAGAGAGAAAUCACGUACUGUUGGACCUCCCUAACAAUAGAUUUGUCAUUAUCAUUACGAUUAAAACUAGGAAAGUAUAAAUCUACCCCUGAUAAGGAAUUACCAACAUGUCCUUGAGUCACAAUCUAACCGACCAGUGCUAAUCAUUGGAUCAACCUAAUACUACAAAUUAUAGUCGGUAAAAAAUCUCAAACUAUUUAUGUGCAAAUAACAACGUAUAUUUUAAAUAAACAAAGUUACCAUGAUCAGAUGCAUUUUUUAGAACAUAUGACAACCAUAUUUAAUAGAUAGACAUUCCAUUCUUUCCCUUGGUGCAGAAACAAAGAGAUUGUUUAUCAAGUUAAAAAAAUGAUAGUUUAUCAACUUGGUGCUAAAACGAUGGGUGUUAAUUACUAACUACCUUCACAAAAAAAGAGCCAAAGGGUAUUAAUGAACGACAGACCUUUAAGGUGUUCUAAAAUAUUAUCACAGUGUACAAGGGACGAUGACAACGGCACGUCGGCAGCUCGUUCUACUGGCUGUUAGUGGUCGUUCGGUAGUCUUGAAGUCUUGAUGUAAUAUUCAUUAUAGUUGAGGUGUUAUCCUUUUCGAAAAAAAUAAGUGUAGGACGUGAACACCACUCUUAUAUAGACACAUUUAACUCCACGGUAACAAUUAUAGUACUAUUUUCUUACCGAAAGACUCAUAAACAUGUAGAAUUAACAUCAUCCAAUCUCUUAUUCCUAGGAGCAUACGUGCAAUAACAGUCACAUAUCCAUGCAUGGUGCGCCAUUAGUAUUUGGACCUAAUGACUGAUGCGCCAUUAGUGUAUAGUAGUGACGCACCAUAUGACUGGUGCGCCAUUAGUGUCAAUUUCAUCUAUAGCCCUUUUCCUAGUAGUGAUGGCAGUACCAGCAACACUCAACAUGUGCUCAGGGGUCUGCCUUGGGAGAGCGGGCUCCAGGAGGCGGAGUCGACAACGAUGUAGGGCCUGAGGCGCGCCGACUCCACCACCGUGUGCAGUGACAACAACUUCUCUGCAGCCGACCUGCAGGAAUUGAUUUAAACACGAUGUAAACACAAACACACUCUCGCACACACUCAUCGAUCCAUCCAUCUGCUGGAUGUACCUAGGGAGAGACGGGCGGCUGGUGCGGGGGAGCGAGAGUCACUCUGUGCGUUUUUAAACCAAACUGGAAACCAUCAAAAAUAGACCGAACCUCACAAAUAUUACAGUUUUUAUUAUGGUUUCUGAUUUAAGUAUGGUAUAUGGACUUCUCAUACUGUUUUGCAUUUUGGUUUUUAUGGUAUAUGCCAAAAACUGAAUGGUUAACUGAAUAAACCGAAAUAAAAAUAUAUAUUUAUAUUUUUUGAGACAAACAAUCAUACAAGUUAUCAUUUUUCUUGUACAUGAGCUAGAUUCCACGCUAAACAUGUCCAUUUUUCUUGUAGGGUAGUCAUUCUUGCUUUAAAACAAGCUAAACACGUCCAUAACCAUCAAGACAUGCAUCCAUGCAUGCAUAUAUUGUUUGUGUAAAAAGGUAUGCCUUUUGAGUCAUAAAUUUUGCAAACUAUUAUAAUGUCAUUUUUUAUUUUGUGUCACCUUUGGUUAUUAUAAUAUAUACAGAAACAAUUUGAUAUAUACAAAAGCGAAACGUAUUUAAGUUGAUGUCGUAUUUACCGAAGUAUUAGUAUCGUAUAAACUAAAAACCUGUAUAAACCGAAUGAACCGAAUGCACAUAGUUAAGUUGACGGCAGGGACGAGCCGAGGUUGCGGCGGAGGCGGCAGUUCGGGCCAAAGACCCCGAAGUCUAAAUUAUAGAAGUUUCAGACAUUUCGGUUAUGCUCAAAAUAUUUUCAAAAGUGAAAUUUGAAACAAUGAAUCCAACUUAUCAAUGUGUGUGUGCAAAACUACAUUCAAAAGAUAGAACCAUCAUUCUUUCCUUUGGUGCAGAAACAAAGAGAUUGUUUAAAGUUAAAAAAAGAUUGUUUAUCAACUUGGUGUUAAUGAACAACGGACCUCAAGGUGUUCUAAAAUAUUGUCAUUGCGUAGAAGGGGCGACGACAAUGGCAUGCCAGCAGCUCGUUCUGGUGGCUGUUAGUGGUCGUUCAGUAAGCUUGAAGUCUUGAUGUAAUUUUCAUUAUAUUUGAGGUGUUAUCCUUUUUCAAAAAGUAAAUGCAGGAGGUGAACACCAUUGUUAUUUAGACAAAUUUAACUCCACGGUAACAAUGUAUAGUACUAUUUCCUUACUGAAAGACUCAUAAAUCCUGUAAAAUCAACACCAUCCAAUCUCUUAGGCUGAUCAUAGUGGGGAGUAACUUAGACUAGUGUCAUGCAUAUGACACUAGUCUAAGUUACUACCACUAGUGGAAAAAGGGCCUAAUGUGAAGCACAUUAGUUCCGGUUUGUAACUGAACCGAUACUAAUGUGACCAUUAGUGCCGGUUCCAACGGCUAGGCGGACGACGCUCAUUAGUACCGGUUCGUGCCACGAACCGGUACUAAUGAGGCCAGUGCGGCUGUGGUCAGGCUAGGGCCACCACGAAGACCUUUAGAGGGUGUUUGUUUCCAGGGACUUAUUGGUCUAGAGACUUAUAUAAGUCCCUAUAAGUCCCAUCUAAACCAAAUAGGAGGGACUUAUAGGGACUUAAAGUGGGCAUUUGAGACUUAUGAAAUAAGACUCUCAAGGAGGGACUUAUUGUUGUAAUAUGGUCUUAUAGAGACUUAUAAGUCCCAGGAACCAAACAGGUAGGGACUUUUUAAGGACUUGGGACUUAUAAGUUGGGACUAAAAAAAGUCCUAAGACUUAUGAACCAAACAGGGCCUUAGUACCGGUUCAUGGCAUGAACCGGUACUAGAGUUUCUUAGUAAACUGAUUUUUAGUCCCACCUCGCCAAGGGAGAGGCAAUAUGAGCGGUUUAUAAGCCGUGAGCGUAGAGACAAUGACGAAGAGGCGCAAUGCUCACCUGCACGUUGAUUAGCUUCAAGCCUUUCAGAAUAGCAUAGAUUGCACUGAGCUAUGUGCAAUGCAGUCUACACUAUUCCGAAAGGCUUGAAGCAAAUUAACCAGGAUUGCACCUCUUUUUUAUUUUUAAUAACUUAUUUGAACUCCGGACUUUUUUUGCGUUCAGUAUGCAGCAUUUAAAGCGACAUCAUCAAUUUCCAACAUGUUCUGACAUCAUUUGCUGUUUUUCAGUCAUUUACCUAAUUGUUUAGAGAGCUAAAUGACAGUGAAAUUGAAAAUCGCUACAAAAUGAACUGUGAAAAUGUUGAAACUUGGCAUGGUAUCAUCAUUUCACCCGCAUAGCAUAUGCGAAAGAGUAGAGAGGGUCACAGCAAAAACUGGACGCACUUCGUGUACAAACUGGACAAUCUUUUUUGGAGUAUCAGGGUUUCGAACGAGAACUCAUCUGUUACAUGAGCCUGCCAGACCUAGGGUGUGCAAAUGCAGGCCUAGAAGGGCCAGCAAGCUCACAGGGCAGCGCGCCAUAGUUAGACCCAGAAGCCUGCUAUAUAGAGAAGUUCGAAGGAGCAGCCACGGCUGGGUUUAUAAACUAGUGCGGCUACCCUUCAAUCGGCGAGGUGGGACUAAACAUUGUGCACCGCCGGUGGCAGCGCACAACCAUUAGUACCGGUUGGUGGCUCCAACCGGUACUAAUGAUUGGGCCUUUAAUACCGGUUCGUGGCACGAACCGGUACUAAAGGGGCCGUUUCCCGCCCUUUGGCCUGGCGAAAGUUGGCCUUUAGUACCGGUUGGUGGCUCCAGCCGGUACUAAAGGCCCCUCCUAUAUAUAUGGCACUUCAAAAAAUUCAGUUUCUCAUCUGCUUCUUCUUCUCUGUCUCGUCGCCCGCCGCCCCGUCCCCGUUCCCGUCGUCGCCGCCCCGGCCCGUCGUCCCCGCCCGGCCCGUCCCCGUCCCCGUCCCCGUUGUCGCCGCCCCGUCCCCAUCUCUGUCGUCGCCAUCCCCGUCGUGACCAUCCCCGUCGGCGCCGCCCGUCGCCGCCCCCAUCGCCUCGCCUCGCCGGUGAGAUCCUGCCCCGGCCGCCAUGUUCACACACACAUUGUUUUUUAGUUUUUUAGUUAUAAAUUUUAGUUUAUUUUUAGUAAAUUCUUAGUUGAAUUAGUUGAAUUAAUUGNNNNNNNNNNNNNNNNNNNNNNNNNNNNNNNNNNNNNNNNNNNNNNNNNNNNNNNNNNNNNNNNNNNNNNNNNNNNNNNNNNNNNNNNNNNNNNNNNNNNNNNNNNNNNNNNNNNNNNNNNNNNNNNNNNNNNNNNNNNNNNNNNNNNNNNNNNNNNNNNNNNNNNNNNNNNNNNNNNNNNNNNNNNNNNNNNNNNNNNNNNNNNNNNNNNNNNNNNNNNNNNNNNNNNNNNNNNNNNNNNNNNNNNNNNNNNNNNNNNNNNNNNNNNNNNNNNNNNNNNNNNNNNNNNNNNNNNNNNNNNNNNNNNNNNNNNNNNNNNNNNNNNNNNNNNNNNNNNNNNNNNNNNNNNNNNNNNNNNNNNNNNNNNNNNNNNNNNNNNNNNNNNNNNNNNNNNNNNNNNNNNNNNNNUGUUUAAUGUUUCACCUAUAUAUGAACAUAUGUUAGAUAUUAAUGUCAAAUGUUAGAUGAAUUAGAUAUAAAUUAUAUGUUAGAUAUAUAUUUAAUUAGUUAUAUGAGAUUUGAUUAUCUAAUUAACAUUUUAUUAUAUAGAACUAGCUACCUUAUUUUUAAUAAGAAAAUCAAUAGAACUACUUUAGUUGAAUUAGUUGAAUUAAUUAGUUGAACUAGUUAGUUGAAUUAGUUGAGCUACUUUAUUUAGGUAUAUUUUUCGUAAGUGCUUAGUUGAAUUAGUUCAAUUAAUUAGUUGAACUAGUUGAUUUAACAUAAUUAGUUGAAUUAAUAGAACUAAUAAGUGUUUAAUGUUUCACCUAUGAACAUAGGAAUGUCGUCUGACGACGAACACGAUUUCAUUAUGUGCGAAUACUGCGAAGACCAGCGCGGCCUGUGCGGCAGAAAUUUUCUAGUUGAUGAUAGACGCUUCAGCAUCAAGCUCGAUGAGAACUUCGAAGUGGAUACAGUAAGUCACAACGACAAGUCUUUUUUCGUAAUUAAGUAUGACUUAUGCUUCAUUUGCUUCAACUUUUAAUUUUAAUUUUUCACUAUUCUACUAGCGUAUCCCCUGCCAUGCAAGAAUUUUUGUCUUGGAUAAGAUAGGUUUCAGUUCUAACGAAACUAUAGAGGUAAAAAUAGUUUACUUGAAGACCGAGCAUGGUUAUACCUUCAACGUUAAAUUAUACAAUGCAGACAUAUACACCUAUUUUGAAUGCAAAACUUGGCAAGCACUAUGCAAGGCUUAUGUAUUUGAGCCUGAUAUGGUUAUCACCUUUGACAUUCGUCCGGAAGAUGAUAUUGAAGGUAAUAUAGACAUCUGGGUCGAUGUGCAGACGCCUCCAGUUCUACCAUUAUGUGAGUUUCUCAACCAUAUUUAUGUCUUCAAUAUGAGAUUAUUUGAACCAAUUGAAUAAUUAAUAUAUCUCAAUUUAUAUUGACAGCUUAUUUCCAAUCAAGAAAACAUGUCCGGCGCUUGGUAGACAGUACCGUCCACUGUCUCGGGGCUGAACUAAACUGCGAGGAGACAAGUUAUUAUGUUUCAUGGCUUGAAGAUCUUGAUGCUGUCAAGAUAAUUUUUUUCCCUUCACUUAGAAAUGUUAGUACUCAAAACGUGCGACCAAUAGUGUUCGUACUGAACUACGAUCACAUAUAUUUAGGAAAGAUGGUAAGAUUUCUACUAUUUCUCCUUAAUGCAUCUUUUGCAUACGUUAUUUUUUUAAGCUAAACUUCAUUGCUAAGUAUGUUACUGUACGAUGUUCUUCAACAGGGACUCCCAAUGAAUGUUGUGCCUGAUUGGAUCGAGACUAAAGGUACCAUGAAUAUUGUUAGCUUACGGCCAAGAUAUCCUACAAUGCACUUUAGUGCAUUCAAGAUUUCUAAUAGCGAGGAAUGCUUAAUAGUAAAAGACUGGAGCAAAAUUGUGAAUGAUCGCAGAGAAGUAGUAGGGGGCAGCAAUCAGAAGUGUAACCCACGAUUAGGAGACAUGUUCAUCUGCAUGCUCCAAUAUGAUGAAUCAGGAAAGGUAUACAUGUUUUAUGCUAUUUUACCUGAGAGAGAGCAGCAGGAGUGAUUAAUUAGCUAGUUCAUGCUCUUAGUAGUUGUCCUCGCAUGUCCGUGUUCUUCGUCCCGAACUUAAUCUCAAAGAGUGAUGUGCUUUUGUGGUGUUAUGAACGUUUAUAAUACCAUUAUCAUGUCAGCACUCGAUGAUACCUUUGCUUCUGGUACAAGUGAAUGUUUCUUGUUUAAGCUAGUAUUGUUGGUGAUGAUAUAUAUGAUGCAGGAGUUUUUAUAUUAAUAUGAUGAUUAUGAUGAGUUAUUAUAUCAUUUAUGAAAGAAACCGUAGAUUAGUUUCAACUGGAUGGAUUCUAGCUAAGUGAUCAAGUAUAUGCCAUAUUCAUAUUACCUCGAUCACUUAAUUAGGUGAUCAAGUAUAUAUAAUAUGGAUAUGACAUAUACUUGAUGACUUAGUUAGGAUCCAUAUGCAUCCAGUCAAACUAAUCUGCGGUACAUUCACUUAAUGAUUUAAUAACUCAUUAUAAUGUAAAACAAUCACUAAAUUAAAUUGAAAACACAAAAUUAAAGUAAAAAUAAAAAUAAAACCAAAACACACCCAAACAUUUAGUACCGGCUGGUGUUACCAACCGGUACUAAUGUCCUACGUGCCCACGGAGCUGGCUCGUGCCACGUGGUUGCCAUUUAGCACCGGUUCGUGCUGAACCGGUACUAAGGGGGGGGGGGGCUUUAGUGCCGGUUACCGAACCAGCACUAAAGGGCCUUACGAACCGGUGCUAUUGCCCGGUUCUGCACUAGUGUAUCUUCAUAGUGCAAAGUAAUAUAGUAGUAGUGUUAUAGAUGUCUUCAUUUAUUAGCCUGUGGACUCAUCCUUUUUUUUCGAGAAUGACGGGGGGGUAUUGUGCCCCACCGGUUGUUAUAUUACUCGAAGGACCUGGCAGUCAUACAGUGUUUUUCAUCGAAAAGAUAAAAAAACAACAUGAUAAGAAGCGAAAAAAAAGAGAAACCCGCCAUGAGGCAGUCUAGAGGACUGAGAGAAAGAAAAGUCGGAUGGCCAGAAGUCGAUCCCGAGACGGAGCGUCAUAGCGCCUGCUCCAAAUCAGGAGGUCGUCGGCCGUCCUCGCGAGGAUAUCACAGGCGGUGCAGCGUAUGUUGUUGAAGGUGGCGUUGUUCCUGGCCUUCCAGAUCUGCCAGAGAAGCACAAAGAGCCCAUCUUUCCACAACGCAGCCACGUCGGCGGACGGCGAGGGAGAGGCGAGGAUCGCAUCCACCGAGGGGAAAGGGCCCAGACCGAGGCGAGUCCAGGUCGAAACCGCACGACCGCAGGCGGCGAAGAUGUGAGAAGUGGACUCCUCGUUGGGGCAGGAGGCGCACGUGCUGGAGGGGGUGCAACUCUUCGCAUGCAGGUUCUUCCGGGUACUAAGGCGGUCCCGGACCAGAAGGCACGCGAAGAUCUUGAUCUUCCGCGGGAGACGCGAACUCCAGAUGUCGAUGGAAGACUGGCAGAGCACCCCGUGGGGGGACAUGACCCUGAACGCGGCGCGCGAGCUGAACUCCACGUCCUCCCCCCAGGCCAUGAGUCGACGAUCCGGAGCGUCCACAAGCCCAAGGUCACUGAUGAUCGCCUGCACAGCCGCAAGCUGGGAAGCGGCAACGGAGGAGAGGCGCCUCUGGAGGUGCAUACCGUCGGCGGACACUGCUGCCACCGAGGCGUUCGGGCGCGUCGAGUGAGAGUACAAUGCCGCGUACUCAAAGCAGAGGGCGCGGCCGGGCCGCCAACGGUCGUGCCAGAACGAGGUGGCGCGCCCGUCGCGGAGAUCCACGCGGGUGAUAGACCUGUACGUCGGGAGGCCGCUGAGAAUGAUGGCCCCAAGGAAAGAAGGAGCCGAGCAGGGGUCGCCAACAUCUCUCCUGGUGGUGCUGAGAAACCACCGUUUCCACGGCGGACAGUCGGGUUGAUGAAGCUUGUGGACGAAGUUGAGGAGCAGACACAUGUUCUGCCGACGGAGAUCCCGGAUCCCGAAGCCGCCUUCCUGCACAUCUGCACACACUUUAUCCCAAGCAAUUAGACAACGCGCACCGGAGCAAGUAUCCUUGCCGGUCCAAAAAAAGGCACGACGCCUACGAUCAAUCAACUCAAUCACACCAGAGGGAAGCAAGUACGAGCACAUGAAGUAGGUGGGGAGGUUGUUGAGAACGGCAUUACAAAGGACCAUCCUACCCCCUGACGACAGGAGGAGGGCACGCCAACCAGAGAGGUAACGGUCAAAGGAGCGGAUAAGAGGGUCGUAAGCGGAGAUGGGAAGUUUCCAGGGGGAGAGGGGGAGACCCAGGUAGGGUUGAGGGAAGGAGGAGAUGGGACAGCCGAGGGUAGUAACCAUGGCGACUGACAGAUCGUCGGGGCAGUGCAUGGGAAUAAACCCAGACUUGUGGAAGUUGAUGGCCAGGCCGGUAGCAAGGGCGAAAGAGUCAAGGAUGGUUUUGAGAGUCGCCGCCGACUGGGGGUCCGCACGGCAGAGGAUAAGGGUGUCGUCGGCGUAUUGGAGCACAGGGCAGGGGAGCGAGGGGUCAAUCGGGUGAGCAAGCCUCCCAUCCGAGGAAGCCGAGCGAAUAAGACGCUGGAGGACAUCGGCGACAAGAAUAAAAAGGUACGGCGAAAGCGCGUCCCCUUGACGGAGGCCAUUGCGGCAAAGGAUCCAGUCCCCAGGGAUACUGUUGAGAAGGACGGCGGUGUGUCCUGUAGAAAGAAUGUCUCGGAUCCAACCGCACCACCGGGAGUUGAAUCCACGGGCUGAGAGAACGGAAAGGAGGCUGGACCAGUUAACCGAGUCGAAAGCCUUCCGAAAGUCGAUUUUGAACACAAUCGUGGGGGCUUUCCGGACGUGGCAGGCACGAAGGAGGUCGGCCGCGUAAACAAUGUUUUCUGAAAUACGCCGACCAGGAAGAAAGCCGGUUUGGUCAGGAUCGACGAGAGAGUGAAUGUAACGCUGCAGCCGAGUGCACAAGGCCUUGGUGAUCGCCUUCAUGAUGCAAUUUUGAAGGGAAAUGGGGCGAAAGUCUUGGGGGGAACGAGCCGCCUCAAACUUGGGGAGGAGGACCAGGAAGGCACGGUUAAUGCGAGAGAGGUCGAGAGACCCGGAGUAGAAGUCAUGGAAGACCGCCUCAACGUCUGUCGCGAUAGUGGCCCAGAAGGAGACAUAGAAGGAGGGGCCGAACCCGUCUGGGCCGGGGCUUGAGAGACGAUUCAUGUCCAGGAACGCCUGCCGGAUUUCCUCGGACGUGAAGGGGUUCGAGAGGUCAUUAGGGAGGGUGGCAGAGUUGCCGUAGAGGUCCGAUAGGGAGAAGUUCCAAGUACACGGGGAGGUCGUACCCAGAAGAUCUUUGUAGUAGGCCCGGAGAGCACAAGCUUUGGACUCAUGCGAGAAGAGGUCAACUCCAUCGACAGAGAGAACAGGGAUGCAGUUUUUCCGGAACCGGGAGGAUGCGGAAGCGUGGAAGAAGCCGGUGUUCUCGUCACCAGCGACGGCGUAACGGACUUUGGCACGCAAUUUCCAGUAAAGGACACGCUCUUUUACAGGAAGCGCUAUGUCACAGUAACAUAUUAUGUUAUUCUAAACACGUCUCCCCUCAUUAACUACAUGCCACAUAAGUAAAAUUUUCUUAAAAUGCGCUAUGUUAUUAUCUAAGUUACUCUCAGUAUGACUAGCCUUAUUCCUAGGAGCACACGCGCAAUAAGGGUCACAUAUCCAUGGCAGUACCAGCAGCACUUAGGGGUCUGCCUUGGGAGGACGGGCUCCAUCAAGCGGAGUCGACGAUGAUGUAGGGCCUGAGGCACGCCGACUCCACUACCGCGUGCAGCGGCAGCAACAUCUUCGCUGCCGACCCGCAGGAAUUCAUUUAAACAUGAUGUAAACACAAACGCACACUCACACACGCUCAUCGACCCAUCCAUCUACUAGACGUACAUGUGGAGAUACGGGCGGCUGGUGCGGGGAGCGAGAGUCACUUUGUGCACUUUUAAACAGCACUGGAAAAACAUACCGAAAAUAUUAUUACCGAACCUAACCAAUUUUACAGUUUUUAUGGUUUCUGGUCUCGGUAUGGUAGAGCUUUUCACACUGUUUUGAAUUUUGGUUUUUAUGGUAUAUGCCGAAAACUGAAUGGUUAACUGAAUAAACCGAAAUAAAAAUAUGUAUUUAUAUUUCUUGAGACAAACAAUCAUACAAGUUGCCAUUUUUCUUGUACAUGAGCUAGAUUCCACGCUAAGCACGUCCAUUUUUCUUGUAGCGUAGUCAUUUUUCUCUUAAAAACAAGCUAAGCACAUCCAUAACCAUCAAGGCAUGAAUCCAUGCAUGCAAAUAUUCUUUGUGUAAAAAAGUACUCUCUCCGUCCCAAAUUUGUUGCCACGGAAAUGGAUAGAAGUGGAUGUAUUUAGAACUAAAAAUAUGUUUGAUACAUCCAUUUUUGCGACAAGUAAUUUUGAAGGGAGAAAAUAUUUGUUUUAAGUCAUAAAUUUACAAACUAUUAUCAUGUCAUUUUUAAAUUCGCGUCAACUUUGGUUAUUAUGAUAUAUACCGAAAUGAUUUGAUAUAUAUGAUACCGAACCAUAUUUUAAUUUCAUGUCAUAUUUACCGAAGUAUUAGUACCGUAUAAACUAAAAACCCGUAUAAACCGAACCAUGGAAACCGAAUAAACCGAAUGCACAGAGUUAAGCUGACGGCACGAACAAGUCGAGGUUGCGGCGGUUGGGGCCAAAGACACCGAAUCCGAAAUUAUAGAAGUUUUAGACAUUUCAGUUAUGUUCGAAAUAUUUUCAAAAGUGAAAUUUGAAACAAUGAAUCCAACUUAUCACUGUGUGUGUACAAAACUCUAAUUAACAUAAUUAGUAAGAAUCGUACAGUGGCUAGAGAGAGGGAGAGAGAAAAUGGUGAACAAACUAAGACAAGUAUUGUCCAUAUGAUCAUCACGCGGGCCGAUCUUCAAUUUGCACAAGCUGAUCGACUCGAACAAAGCACUUGUCGUCUCAGCUGAUGAGCUCCCGUAUCGCCUGCAUGGUGGUCGGGGAGAAGAAGAAGCUGCUCGGGGACAGCAGCGACCAUGCAGCAGACGGGGAAGCAGAAGGUUCCGGAUGAUCAUCAUGACCACACGGUGCACGCUGCUGCUGGCUAAGCGUGAGAACCAAAGACGUCGCCUCCAUCGACGGUCGCUUCUUGCAAUUGCCCGUGAGCCUCUGCACGACGGCCAUGAACUCGUGUGGGUCGGCGUGGACGACCCUCGGCGUGCGCUCGUACACGAUCAUGGGCCCGGCUGGUCCGGCGUGGCCGCCAACGCGUGGCUUCUUGGACGGCCGGGCCGGCAGGCUCAGCAGCUGCGGCCUGAGGCCCCGGAGGCCACCUGCUCUCUUCGGCUUGGACGACGUCGACGGCAUGUCGUGCGUGCGUGUGUGUGUUCGUCUCUGUCCUAGGUUGUUUUUGCAAGCGGAUUUAAUCUGGUUCUACUCCUACGCACGGCGGCAUCAAUGCUUAUAUAGGGGCGUUGCCGUGGUUAGAGCAGGAUGGCAAAAGAAAUGGUGAGCCGAACUUGGACCUGCUACUACCCUCCGUGUGCAUGGUUGCCAUUCUGCGUGCACAAGAAAGGGUCAGAGAUAUGGAUAAACUAGCGUCACUUCCUCGCGUAUGGAAGAAGUUGUUGUAUACUUUAGAUUAUCGACGAGUUUCCGGCCGGGGUCAUGCCUCCAUUAUUAUACAUACUAUAAAAUAGAUAGUGUUGUUUUACUUUGUACGCACACUGUUAACAUUGAUGGCUAUCUUUUGUAUGAUAAUGUACGGCACAAAGGGAAUCAAAUAAAUGUUUAUGUUGUUGUGAAACUAGUUUGAUGGCCAAUCAAAUGAUACUAUUUCUGUAGCCCACCCUGCAAAAAAAAAAAACUGCUUCAUGUCUGGGUGAAGACUCUUGUUCUGACCUUGAUUGAUUGGGCUCAACAACGGCGAGAUUGCGUCCUUACCUUGUUGAAGACGUUGUCUCGCUAGUCGAUUCGGUGAUUGGUCUUGGUAACUAGAAUGAAAAUCCUUAUCUUGGUCGUUUGUGGUCAGAUGUGGCGACAACAGCAUGAGGACGAAGUUUAUUCCCUCUUGAAGACGUUGUUGUGGAAGAUAUCAACCAAGUUGUAAGUGUUAAUCAAUACGACGCUGUCGUAGUUAUCUAUGUUAUGUCAAUAGUCUAUUUGUUGGCGAUUUACAUCAACUCUAAUAAAUAUGGUUGUAUGCAUUGCAAUGAUACAGAGAAACCGAGGGUUUCAACCUCCUGUUAGAAGAAGAACAAUUAACUAGCUUUUAACUGGAGAGAAGUUUGUUUACAACCCUUGUAAAGCGUCAUCUGUUUUGGAACUCAGUGGGUGUAUGAUCUGCAUCUAGCAGCCAGCAGACGUACGUAUGCAUGACAAAUGACAUAGGAGUAUAUGCUAGUUAAUUGGUGGUAGUAUUGUAAGGAUAAGAUUGCGCAACAUCAAUCAUUCAUUCAACACAGACCGGAGCCGACUAUAAUACACACACAUAUACGAGGUAGUAGUAGUUUAGUUAGUUCAUCUGUGGAUUCUGCUUCUUCCUGUACGGCGCAUGCUGUGCGCAUGCAUGGCUUCAUAUUUGAGCUGCAUUUAACACGCGAGUUUGAUGCUAGCGGCUUAAUUAACUACUAGAUCUAGUGAUUAUUAUUGUUGGAUUUGUAAAACGUUUUAGGCUAGGCUUUACGUACCGGAUGACGCGAGGAAGGAAGAAGGAAAUAGGUCAGGGAAAUACUCCAGCUUAGCUCCAGGUCAGACGAACACACGCGCAGAGGAAGCAGGCAGGAAGCCAGGUGUCUUCUGAUUACGUUUUACCCUUUACAACGAAAUGAUGUUUCGUUGGUAGGCAGCUAUACACACCACAACCUGAUUUGCCUGAAGAAUUUGCUGCCUGCCAGGAAAGGACAGUGUUAUUUAUUGAAAAAGACUGACAGAAAGCAAAAGUACCUUUCUACACCUGAGCUCAUAUGCUCCUGAUGUGAACAGUAAACUAAAUAAAAUAUAAAAACAUUUAAAAAAUUCUGAAAUUUUUUUAUGACAUACUUUAAGAAAUGUUUGUUGUGCAUGCAAAAUUUCACCACGAAAUCGCAUUCGUGGAAGUCGUGGCAAAAAAAAAAACAAAAAAAGCUCCAAAAUGCGUUUGAAAGUAACAUUUACAUAGUAUCGAUUUUGUUUUUUUACCAUGCCUUCCAUCAAUGUCAUUUCGUGAUGAAAUUUUGCAUGCACAACAAACAUUUCUUAAAGUAUGCCACAAUUUUUUUUCAGAAUUUUUUGAAAUGUUUUUCUAUUUUAUUUAUUUUACUGUUCACGGCAGGAGCAUAUGAGCUCAGGUGUAGAAAUUCCACGUCCGACGGAAAGGUUCUACUAAUAGUGUCCAACUAGCCACUUUUUUGUUUGUUUCUGAAUUGCAGGCUGUGCGAAGAUUCUAGGAACUGUUUUCACAAACACAGUAGAAGAAUGACGGAGGGCCUGGGGGAGGGGCAGGGCGGCGGAGGAAUAGAGGCAGCAUGCUGCGUGUAGAAUGGAGGAGAAGCGUCGGCGAGUUGCACCAAGUCCAUCUCAACUUAAACUACUAGCUAGAGCUAAGGCACCAGGACUGCCUGGAAAAAGAGGAACCGAUGAAUCUUCGAAGGCACAAGAUUGACUUACAUCGAGGUGACACACCUAACCUUCAAGGAGAUCAUGCAGUGCAAUCUGGCCUUCCAGCCAAAAGCGAUCCAAAUUCAUAAGUAGUUAGUAUGCGGCACUUAGUGUGAUUCUUUAGAUCUUGGGGUUUCCGACGCACGUGUCCCCUUUCAAAACAUGCAACACUGUACAUAUUUCCCUCCACUUCCUUAAAAAAAGGAUUACCCUCCCAGCGGCAGUCAGAGGGGACGUGGACCCACGGGCUUGCCAACAAAGCCUAUAAGGGAGAGUUCACCCUUGCCGCCGAGGGGAAGGGGAGAAAAAAAAUCACGUGUUGUAUGACCUCCCUAAGGAUAGAUUUGCCAUUAUCAUUACAAUUAAAACUAGAAAAUUAUAAAUCUACCCCUGAUAAGGAAUUACCAACAUGUCCUUUAGUCAAAUCUGACCGGCUAGUGCUAAUCAUUGGAUCAACCUAAUACUACAAAUUAUACUUGGUAAAAUAUCUCCAAAACUAUGUAUGUGCAACUGACUGACGUAUAUUUUAAAUAAACAAAGUCACCAUGUUUAGAUGCACUUUUGAAAACAUAUGACAACCACAUUCAAUAGAUAGACAUAGACAUCCCAUCCUUUCCUCUGGUGCAUAAACAAAGAGAUUGUUUAUCAACUUGGUGCUAAACCGAUGAGUGUUAAUUAAUUACUAUUCCCUCCGUUCGGAAUUACUUGUCGUAGAAAUGGAUGUAUCUAGAUGUAUUUUAGUUCUAGAUACAUCCAUUUUUAAGACAAGUAAUUCCGAACGAAGGGAGUAACUACCUUCAUAAAAAAUGAGCCAACAGGUAUUAAUGAACAGCAGACCUCAAGGUGUUCUAAAAACAUUAUCACAAUGUAGGAGGGGCGACGAUAGCGGUGCGUCGGUAGCUCGUUCCGGUGGCUAUUAAUGAUCGUUCGGUAGUCUUGAAGUCUCGAUGUAAUUUUCAUUAUGUUUGAGGUGUUAUCCUUUUCAAAAAAAAUAAGGAGUAGGAGGUGAACACCACUGUCAUUUAGACACACAUUUAACUCCACGAUAACAAUUUAUAGUACUAUUUCCUUACUGAAAGACUCUUAACUCCCGUAGCAUCAACACCAUCCAAUCUCUUACUCCUAGGCGCAUAGGCGCAAUAGCUGUCACAUAUGACAUAUCCAUGGCAGUACCAACAGGGCUCAACAUGUGCUCAGGGGUCUAACUUGGGAGAGCGAGCUCCAGUAGGCGGAUGGCGAUGCAGGACCUAAGGCGCGCAGACUCCACCGCCGUGUGCAGCGGUAGUAGCUUCUCCGGCGUUAUAGCCGCCGCCGACCUGCAGGAAUUGAUGUAAACAGGAUGUAAACACAAACACACACGCCCAUCGAUCCAUCCAUCUGCUGGACGUACCUACGGAGACAUGGGCGAGUGCGGAGAGCGAGAGUCACUCCGUGCAUUUUAAAACCAAACCAAAAAAACAUACCAACAAUAAACCAAACCUAACCAAUUUUAUGUUUUUAUGCUUUCUGGUUCUAGUAUGGUAUGGAUUUUCCAUAGUGUUUUGAAUUUUGAGUUUUAUGGUAUAUACUAAAAACUGAACGGUUAACCGAAUAAACCAAAAUAAAUAUAUUCAUAUUUAUAUUAUAUUUAUAUUUCUUGAGAUGAACAAUCAUACAAGUUGUCAUUUUUCUUGUACAAGAGCUAGAUUCCCCGCUAAGCAUGUUCUUUUUCUUGUGACGUAGUCAUUUUUCUCUUAAAAACAAGCUAAGCACGCCCAUGACCAUCAAGGCAUGAAUCUGUGCAUGCAUAUAUUGUUUGAAGUAUGUAUUUUGAGUCAUAAAUUUGUAAAUUAUUAUUAUGUCAUUUUUAAAUUCGCGUCAACUUUGAUUAUUAUGGUAUAUACUGAAACUGAACCUUACUUAUAUUUCAUGUCGUAUUUACUAAAGUAUUAAUACCAUACAAACUGAAAACUCAUAUAAACCGAACCAUGUUAACCAAAUAAACCAAAUGCAUGGAGUUAAGCUAGACGGCAGGGAUGAGCCGUGGUUGCAGCGGAGGCGGCGGUUUGGGCCAAAGACGCCGAAGCCUAAAGUAUAGAAGUUUCAGACAUUUCAGUUAUGCUCAAAAUAUUUCAGAAGUGAAAUUUGAAACAAUGAACCCAAUGUAUCAUUGUGUGUGUGUAAAACUCUAAUUAACAUAAUUAGUAAGAAUCGUACAGUGGCUAGAGAGAGGAAGAGAGAAAAUUGGUGAACAAACUAAGACAAGUACUGUCCAUAUGAUCAUCACCCUCGCCGAUCUUCAAUUUUCACAAGCUGAUCGACUCGAACAAAGCACUUGUCGUCUCAGCUGAUGAGCUCCCGUAUCGCCUGCAUGGUGGUCGGGGAGAAGAAGAAGCUGCUCGGGGACAGCAGCGGUGAUGCGGCAGCCGGGGAAUCAGGAGGUGCCGGAUGAUGAGCACCACACGGCGCACGCUGCUGCUGGCCAAGCGUGAGAACCAAGGCGUCUGCGGCGGUCAACGUCGAGGCCCUGCCGUCCCGAGCUCCGGUCGACGACUGCUUCUUGCAAUUGCCCGUGAGCCUCUGCACGAUGGCCAUGAACUCGUGUGGGUCGGCGUGGACGACCCUCGGCGUGCGCUCGUACACGAUCACGGGCCCGGCAGCUGGUCCGGCGUGGCCGCCGACGCGCGGCUUCUUCGACGGCCGUGCCGACAGGCUCAGCGGCUGCGGCCUCGGGCCCUGGAGGCCGCCUGCUCUCUUCGGCUUGGACGACAUCGACGACAUGGCGUGUGUGUUGUGUCUCUGACCCUCUGUUGUGUAUUGUCUUUGCAAUCGGAUUUAAUUUGGUCCUACUCCUACGCACGGCGUCGUUAAUGCUUAUAUAGGGGAAAUGGUGAGCCGAACUUGGACCUGUUUCCCUCCGUGCAUGGCUGCGAUCCUGCCUGCACAAGAAAGGGUCAGAGAUGGGGAUAAACUAGUGUCCCUUCCUCCUCCGUAUGGAACACUAGUGCAGAACCGGGCAAUAGCACCGGUUUGUAAGGCCCUUUAAUACCGGUUCCAUAAUCGGCACUAAAGUGUGGACACUAAAGACUUUUCUUUUAAUACCGGUUCAGCACGAACUGAUGCUAAAUGGCAACCACGUGGCACGAGCCAGCUCCGGGGGCCGGGAGCCCUUUAGUACCGGUUGGUAACACCAACCGGUACUAAAAUGUUUGGGUUUUUUUUGGUUUUAUGAUUUCUUUUUCAUUUAAUUUUGUGUUUUUCAUUUUAAUUCUUUUUUGUUUGCUGAUAUUUUACGAUACUACACAUUGUACACGUUAUGCAUAUAUAUAUAAAUAGAAUUUCUAGUAUAACCAAUUAUAUAUAUAUCAUCAAUGUCUCACAAACCACCAUAUUAAUUCACACAUACACACAUGUAUAGCUAUAUACAAUUUCUUUUAUAUAUGCAUGUUGCCUUCGGAGCCAGUGGCAUUAGCCUAAUUGGUGCCUUCGGAGCACGAUGACAAUUGGAAGUGGUUCAUGACCUGGUCGAUGGGGGCGAUAGCGGGUAAUAGUAUUCUCCCUUCGAAUUUAUAACCUGGUCGAGCAAAAAUCCCGCUAUUUCCUCUUGAAGUGCUUCUACGCGCUCCGUUUCUAGGAGCUUGUCCCGCACCUCUUUGAACUGUUAAGAAGGAUAUCAAUAUGCAUGUGUAUUAGUUGUGUGACUAGAUAUCGAUAAUGGUGUAAAAAUUGUGAAUAGUGUUCUGACAAGCGUACCAAUUUCUGUCUUUGAGAUCUGCUCCUUUCGGAUGCCAUCAUGUGAAUGUUCUCGCAAACGCAGAAUGCACACAAAUCAAUCCCCUGCGCCUGCUUCAGGGCCUUUAUUACGAGAAUGAAAUUUAAUUUGAUCAGAUAAUAAUUAAUCAAGCAUGAUAAUUACUAGUACUACUUAAUUACUUACCUUGGGUCGAAACCAUUUCAGCUGUCGUUUCCAUUCGCCUUCCGUGACGCCGAUGAACCUUGCCCAAGCCCUGCCCGCCGACAAAGAAAAUAAAUAAAGGGGUUAUUAAAUAGUUCAUAUCAUGAAAUGACGAACUAAAUAGGUCAAGAUAUAUAGUUAAUAAUGAUUGAAAUUACCUGUUGAUUAUCCCAAACAAGAUGUUAUAGUCACUAUUUGCUUUGAGUAGUGAGUUCAGUAUUUCAACUGUUCCGGCGUCAACAUUAAUGAUACACAAGAUCCAGUGAAAUCUGCAUGCACACACGUUUGCAUGUCUUAAUUAAGCGGGCAUAUGUAAGCAAAAACAUGUAGCUAGCUAGUAGGCAAAAACAGAGAAUUUGUAGUACAAGAAAGUGUGACUCACUGGAAGUUGUAAGGAAGUAGUAUAUCUUCAUUGUAUUUGAGGCGCUUCAAGAACUCUAGCAUGCUGUCCUCUACCUGCUUUUCAUGAUGCUUGUUUAUUUUCCAUGUGUAUUCAUUAACGGUGUUUGGGUCAAUGAACCCAAUGCCAUAGCGUCCACCUUUUCUCAUUUCAUACAUCUUCAUCCUGCAUAAUACCACAGAAAAGAAUAUAGUGAGGAUAAUUACAGGUAAUGAUUGAUCAAAAGGAUCACUACAGCUAGCUUGAGACUUAAAUUACAGAAAGAAAUCACUUACAGACAAUAGCAACUGACGAUAGAUUUGUCGAGUGCGUCUUGAUUGUAUAACUGAAACAGUUCAGAAUACUCAACGGUCACAGGUUUCUGAUGGUAGUAAUGAUCCUUCUUGACUUGCACCAUGAGGGACUCUUGAUCGGAUCUCUUGGUAAUGUCCAUGUACCAUUGACGCAAUUCAUACAUUCUCGUUGGGAGCUUCUUGACCUCUUCUGGCUUGACCAAAGGUUGGCCCCGGGCAUAUUUCCGUUUUAUUUCCUCCUCUGUAAGCACAGGCAUGUCCUCGAUCUCGAGGAGUUGUCCAACAGUGAUGUUGAGAGUUUCAGCCUGCACUAUAUGCUCCUGGGUUAUUACCACAUCGCCCACCUCGGGAACAUAAACUGUUUGCCCACAAUAAUAUUGGGUGCGCGUACUGUCACAUGUUGUUGGCGGCACAAUAAACGGGGGGAUCGAUUGUGCUGCCUGUUCUCCCAGCUGGGCAACGGUUUUCCCGCAUUUGACAGCUGCUUGUUGUUUGCUCGAGCUCGAGCUCGCCUCCUUCUGUAGAUGUUGUCGAUGUAACUUCCUGAUGUGGCGCUCAUAGUCUGUGUCAACAGGCUUAGGAGCUGGUGGUUGAGCCAUACGAAUGAAGUGGUCAACUACUUCCACAGGCACUUUCUCCCUUGGCGGCAGUGGCGGUUUCGGUCCAAAAUGGGCGUCGACUUCUGCCCGCACUAUGGCAUUGGUUUGCUCCUCGGUCCUGUCGUAAGCCCUCUCAGGAAGAGGAGUAGUGAGGUUUGGACCAUAUUUAUAUUGCUUGCCUCCGCUUGUACUUCCUGUACUAUGACCUCGACUCGUACCGCUACACACCAUAGCUGCGGGGUGUCUCUUCUGUGAUUGCUGAGGCGGCGGAGACGGCUGACGGGGCUGAGUUGGACGAGGAGGAGUGACCUGAAGUUGUGCCGGACUUGGAGGAGGAGUGGCCUGAGGUUGUGCCGGACUUGGAGGAGGAGUGGACGUCUGACGCUGUGUCGGACUUGGAGGAGGAGUGGCCUGACACUUAGCCGGACUUGGAGGAGGAGGAUUGGCCUCACGCGUUGGUGGACUUGGAGGAGCGGGAGUCUGCUGACUCGGUGGCGGACUUCGACGAGGAGUCGGGUGACGCGGUAUCGGUGGCCUUCGAAAGAUGAUGCAAUCCUUUCUCCAUAGAAUGAUACGAUGUUUGGCAUCUCUGAGUGUGUGCUCCUCGUCACCUCCAGGAAUGUCAAGCUCUAGCCCCGAAUAUUGGUCCACCACCUCAUCAACCACAACACGAGCAUAGCCUGCUGGAAUCGGGUUGCAAUGGAAGGUUGCAUCGGGGGAAUUUGUAUAAGCAACGCCGUCCGCCACCUUCAAGGAUAUGUUCUUAAUUUUGAAGUGUAGCUCGCAGUUAGUGUUCUCCGCGAUGUCAUCCACGGGGUAUCUAUCCAGCAUUGCGUCAAACGGGGCGGAACCCACACUGCUUCUCGGCAUGGAUGGGGCGGUGGUAUCCAAUGCUGGAUCAUCCGCUAGCUGCUGCAGCUGCUGAGACCCCCUUUGCUGGCUAAGUGAGUCGAUCUGCUCCUGCUGCCGCUGGAAUUUGACUACCAAGUCCGCCUGCGCUGAUUCUAGGCCUUGAAGGCGUUCAUAGUCCAGCUUCCUCUUCUCCUCCUCCAUCUUCCUCUGCUUCUCCUCCGCAAUCUUCCUUCUCACACGGGUUCUGUAGUCGGCGUUCCAGUCCGAAAACCCCUCAUACCACGGAAUAGCGCCCUUGCCUCGUGUUCUUCCCAGGUGUUCAGGAUUUCCCAGGGCACGCAUAAGCUCGUCGUUCUCUCUGUUGGGCUGGAACACCCCCAUUCGAGCCUCUUCUAUUGCAACAAGUAUAUUAUCACCGGCUCCGUUCAGACAUGUCUUCGUCGAAACUUUGCCUGUUUUCGGGUCCAACUCCCCCCCCCCAUGCGCAUAGAACCAAGUCCUGCACCUGGGGGGCCAGCUCUUAGUAACCGGAGUGACACCUGCAUCCUCCAUCUCUUUCUCAGACUUAUCCCACUUAGGCAUUGCCACCGCGUAGCCACCUGGCCCCAGCUUAUGGAACUUAUCCUUUUUUCGGCAUUCUUCUUGUUUAUUCUCGACCGUUCCUUAGCUAAUUCUAAAUCCUUGAAUUUCACGAAAUCGUCCCAAUGAGCACUUUAAUUCUCUAGUGUUCCCUCGAAUACUGGAGUCUUCCUUCCUCCCUUGACGUACUUGUCCCAUUCACGAUUCUUGUGGUUCUUGAAUGCAACUGCCAUCUUCCUAAGAGCAGCGUCCUUGACUUUCUGCACAUCUGCUUCUGUGAAAUGAUCUGGUAGGGUGAAAUGUUCCAUGAGAGUAUCCCAAAGCAGACUUUUUUGUCUGUCGUCGACAAAAGUAAGAUCUGGACGUGGCUUUGCUGGCUCUCUCCAUUCUUGAAGGGAGAUCGGGAGUUGGUCCUUCACAAGAACUCCGCACUGACGAACGAACUUGUCUACAAUCUUCUUAGGCGCUAAUGGUUCGCCAUUAGGUUUGAUUGCCUCGAUAUUAUACUUUACGCCCUCCUUCAACUUUUUGUUCGGGCCUCGUUUCAUCCUGUUGCCUGAAGAUUUGCUCGAUCCGGAUGGCUGAAAGAAGAAAGAUCGAUUCGUUAAUAUAUCAUCAACUCAUUUAAAACAUGUGAUGAUCACCAGAUGCCUGCUUAUAUAAAUAUAUAUACCUCGCCGGUCAUGACUUCAUCAAUUCGGUCGUCGCGAUCGAAUAUCAUAUCACCCUCUCCGGUGUUGUUUAGAAAUUCGGAGCCGUCAUAAUCUUCUUCAUUCUGAUCAUCAUCUGGCCCGUGUAUUAUAUCGAACAUGGUCUGUUCUCCCUCUCUGUCGGUAUUGUACGCUAUAGCUUUUAUUUAACUAUGCCAAAAGAAAUAUAAAACAAUUUAGUAUUCAAAUUACAUCGUCCGAAUAAUAGAUAUAGUCUCGAAUACAUCAUCUCGAAUAAUAGAUAUAAUCUCGAAUACAUCGUCUGGAAUAAUAUAUAAUAUUGAAUAGUACAUCACUGGCUAGGUAGCUAAUUAAAGAUCGAAUACUACAGAAGAAUCUAGGACACUCGCGGUUCCUGCGGCGCGGUCGAUGGACACCCAAAGAGAAGGAACCCUCACAGGAUCAUAGCUGAAGUGAGAUCCCUGAAGAAACUGCCAGGUAUUGGAGAACCUGCCGCCCUCUAACGCAACCAUGUAGCAAUGGACAUGCUCGUCCUCCUCCCUGACACGGCGACGUACCACCUCCGACGGGGCCGGCUCCCUCCGCACCGAAGCUGGCCCACGCGAACGCCACCAAACGAGAUCAGGGUCGACGACGGGACUCGGGGCUGGGUUCCUCAUCAAGCGGCGCGCCCCUCCAGGCAGCACCUCCCAGUGCCAGUCCGGCGGAGCCCAGUCCCGGACAUGGGUCAGUCGGACGUCGUCGCGGACGGGUCGACGGCGAGGAUGCGGGUCGGGCAUCGUCGAGAACAAAUACUAGCUAUAUGCCCGCAAAAAGUAACAUUUUUUUAAUGAUUGGAUUUUGAUAACUAAAAUUUCUAACAUUUCUAUAUAACACUAAUUAUGCUAUCAUUGCAUAUGUCAAAAUUCUAUAUGUUAUUUCAUACUAAUUAAGCAUCUAACACUAAAACAGAAAACACAACUUUUAUACAUCCAUUAAAAAACUGAAAAAAAACAUUAUAUAAAAAAUUUCCAUACUAAUUAAACACUAAUUAUAUCCAUCUAACAUGCAUUCAUACAUAUAUACUAGUGAAAAAAUAAUAAUCUAAAAAAUCUAAACUAAUUAAACAUACAAAAUACGUAUAUACUAAUAUAUACAUGCAUUAAUUCAUACAUAUGUACGUCUGUGUGUGUGUGUGUGUGUUCAUCAUGCUUGUGUGUGUGUGUGUGUAUGGGCUCGGGGAGGGGCGGCGCCCAUGGUGGCCGUCGGGGGCGAGGGAGAAGGGUUAGAGGGGAAGAGCUCACAGCGGGGCGACGGCGACGGCGAGGCGACGACCGGGGGCGGCGACGAGCCGGGGCGUGACGCGGGGGCGGCGACGCGGUGAUGGCGCGACGGGGACGGGCCCGGGGCGGCGACGGAGACGAGGGCGGCGACGGGGACGGGGGCGGCGACGGCGAAGGCGUCGAUCGAUCGGGGCACGCGGGCGGUGCUUCAAUGGGGAAACAGAGAAAGAAACAGAGGGAGAAUGAAAUUUUUGUAAGUGUUGUAUAUAUAGAAGGCACCUUUAGUACCGGUUGGAGCCACCAACCGGUACUAAAGGCCUGUUUUGGCCAGGCCAAGCGGCGGGAACCGCACCCCCUUUAGUACCGGUUGGUGGCUCCAACCGGUACUAAAGGCCCCCCUUUAGUACCGGUUGGUGCCACAAACCGGUACUAAAGGGCGUGCGCUGGCGCAGGUGCGGUGCGCAAGUUUAGUCCCACCUUGCUAGCCAAGGGGCGACCGCACUGGUUUAUAAACCCCCGUGCGGUAGCUCUCUCGAGCUCCUCUCCAAAGCAGGCCUACUGGGCCUACAUGUUCUGUGCUGCCCUGUUGGCCUACUGGGCCUUUGCGGGUCUGCAUCCUGGCCCAACAACAGGUUGGGUUUCUAGUCGUAUGCAGGCCGCUCUGGCCUAGUAGGCGGGCUUUUUUUGCUUUAUUUAUUUUUGAGUUGUUUUUUUUGUGUAUUUAGAGUUUCUUUGUGAAUAUUUUUGCUUUAGGUACAAAAAAUUACAAACUUUCUGUUAGUGCCCGUAGUUUUCAAAUUUGAAUAGUUUAAAUUUUGAAUUAUUUAAAAUUAGUGUGAAUCACUAGUUUGUGAAUAACUUAACUUUAAAAAUCAGUAAAGGCAUGAAAGAAUUUGUUUGCACAUAAAAUUUCUUCGCGUUUCAAAUGCCAAAACACAUAAUUAACUACCCUAACUAUUACAGAGAUUCCCUUCUGGGUGUGAAACACAGAAGAAAGUGAUGAUAGUGAAGCCGAUCACAUCCCAGAUCUUUGGGUGUGAAACUUUUUCUUCGCGUGUGUCCCUUUGCGCCGUAACCAUAAAAAAUCUUCAUCAUUUAAUGGGAUGCUCGGGUCAAUAAUCACUGUGAAUGGAGCAAUUUCAUCAAACUUUUCAUAAUCUUCUGACUUGUCUGUCUUGUCAUUCACUCCCAUGAUGUUUCUCUUCCCAGAAAGAACUAUGUGCCGCUUUGACUCAUCGUACGAUGCAUUCGCUUCCUUAUCUUUUUUUUUCUUGGCUUGGUAGACAUGUCCUUCACAUAGAAAACCUGUGCCACAUCAUUGGCUAGGACGAAUGGUUCGUCUGCAUAUGCAAGAUUGUUGAGAUCCACUGUUGUCAUUCCGUACUGUGGGUCUUCCGUUACCCCGCCUCGUGUCAUAUUGACCCAUUUGCACCGAAACAAAGGGACCUUCAAACCACGUCGAUAGUCAAGUUCCCAUAUGUCCUGUAUAUAACCAUAAUAUGUUUCCUUUCCCGUCUUGGUUUCUGCAUCAAAGCGGACACCACUGUUUUGGUUGGUGCUCUUCUUAUCUUGGGUGAUCGUGUAAAAUGUAUUACCAUUUAUCUCGUACCCUUUGAAAGUCAUUAUAUUCGAAGAUGGUAACUGGGACAGCAAGUACAGGUCAUCUUCAAUAGAGGUGUCAUGCAUGGUACGUGUCUGCAACCAGCUGGCGAAACUCCUGAUUUGUUCACGUGUAAUCCAGUCAUCAGACCGCUCCGGGUGUUUGGAGCGUAGCAAAUUCUUGUGUUUAUCCAUAUACGGAGCCACGAAGGCGGAAUUCUAUAGAACUGUGUAGUGUGCUUCAGUGAGAGAAUGUCCGUCCAUACAUAUUAUUUGUUCCCUUCCUAGUGUGCCUUUUGUUGGGGAACGUAGCAAUAAUUCAAAAUUUUCCUACGUGUCACCAAGAUCAAUCUAUGGAGUCAUCUAGCAAUGAGGGAGGAGUGGAUCUACAUACCCUUGUAGAUCGCGCGUGGAAGCGUUCAAGAGAACGGGGUUGAUGGAGUCGUACUCGCCGUGAUCCAAAUCACCGAUGAUCCUAGCGCCGAACGGACGGCACCUCCGCGUUCAACACACGUACGGAGCAGCGACGUCUCCUCCUUGAUCCAGCAAGGGGGAAGGAGAGGUUGAUGGAGAUCCAGCAGCACGACGGCGUGGUGGAGGAAGUAGCGGGAUUCCAACAGGGCUUCGCCAAGCGCCGCGGGAGGAGGGAGAUGUGUCAUGGGAGGGAGAGGGAGGCGCCAGGGCUUAGGUAUGGUUGCCCUCCCUUCCCCCCACUAUAUAUAGGGCCAAGGGAGAGGGGGGAGGCGCAGCCUUGGCCCUACCUCCAAGGAAGGGUGCGGCCAAGGGGGGGAGGAGUCCAUCCUCCCCAAGGCACCUCAGAGGUGCCUUCCCCUUUAGGACUCUCCCCUCCUCUUGUCCCUUUGGCGCAUGGCCCUCUAGGGGCUGGUGCCCUUGGCCCAUGUAGGCCAAGGCACACCCCCUAUAGCCCAUGUGUCCCCCGGGGGCAGGUGGCCCCACCCGGUAGACCCCCGAGACCCUUCCGGUGGUCCCGGUACAAUACCGGUGACCCCGAAACUUGUCACGAUGGCCGAAAUAGCACUUCCUAUAUAUAAUUCUUUACCUCCGGACCAUUCCGGAACUCCUCGUAAUGUCCAGGAUCUCAUCCAGGACUCCGAACAACUUUCGGGUUACCGCAUACUAAUAUCUCUAUAACCCUAGCGUCACUGAACCUUAAGUGUGUAGACCCUACGGGUUCGGGAGACACGUAGACAUGACCGAGACGACUCUCCGGCCAAUAACCAACAGCGGGAUCUGGAUACCCAUGUUGGUUCCCACAUGUUCCACGAUGAUCUUAUCGGAUGAACCACGAUGUCAAGGACUUAAUCAAUCCCGUAUACAAUUCCCUUUGUCUAGCGGUACGAUACUUGCCCGAGAUUCGAUCGUCGGUAUCCCGAUACCUUGUUCAAUCUCGUUACCGGCAAGUCUCUUUACUCGUUUCGUAACACACCAUCCCGUGAUCAACUCCCUGAUCACAUUGUGCACAUUAUGAUGAUGUCCUACCGAGUGGGCCCAGAGAUACCUCUCCGUUUACACGGAGUGACAAAUCCCAGUCUCGAUUCGUGCCAACCCAACAGACACUUUCGGAGAUACCUGUAGUGUACCUUUAUAGCCACCCAGUUACGUUGUGACGUUUGGCACACCCAAAGCACUCCUAUGGUAUCCGGGAGUUGCACAAUCUCAUGGUCUAAGGAAACGAUACUUGACAUUUUAGAAAAGCUUUAGCAUACGAACUACAUGAUCUUUGUGCUAGGCUUAGGAUUGGGUCUUGUGUUGGAAAUAUGCCCUAGAGGCAAUAAUAAAAGUAUUAUUAUAUUUCAUUGUUCAUGAUAAUUGUCUUUUAUUCAUGCUAUAACUGUAUUAUCCGGAAAUCGUAAUACACGUGUGAAUACAUAGACCUCAAUAUGUCCCUAGUGAGCCUCUAGUUGACUAGCUCGUUGUGAUCAACAGAUAGUCAUGAUUUCCUGGCUAUGGACAUUGGAUGUCGUUGAUAACGGGAUCACAUCAUUAGGAGAAUGAUGUGAUGGACAAGACCCAAUCCUAAGCAUAGCACAAAGGUCGUUUAGUUCGUUUGCUAGAGCUUUGCCAAUGUCAAGUAUCUCUUCCUUAGACCAUGAGAUCGUGUAACUCCCGGAUACCGUAGGAGUGCCUUGGGUGUAUCAAAUGUCACAACGUAACUGGGUGACUAUAAAGGUGCAUUACAGGUAUCUCCGAAAGUAGCUGUUGGGUUGACACGGAUCGAGACUGGGAUUUGUCACUCCGUAUGACGGAGAGGUAUCUCUGGGCCCACUCGGUAAUGCAUCAUCAUAAUGAGCUCAAGGUGACCAAAGUGUUGGCCACGAGAUCAUGCAUUACGGUACGAGUAAAGUGACUUGCCGGUAACGAGACUGAACAAGGUAUUGGGAUACCGACGAUCGAGUCUCGGGCAAGUAACGUACCGAUUGACAAAGGGAAUUGUAUACAGGGUUUGAUCAAAUCCUCGACAUCGUGGUUCAUCCGAUGACAACAUCGAGAAGCAUGUGGGAGCCAACAUGGGUAUCCAGAUCCCGCUGUUGGUUAUUGACCGGAGAACGUCUCGGUCAUGUCUACAUGUCUCCCGAACCCGUAGGGUCUACACACUUAAGGUUCGAUGACGCUAGGGUUAUAAAGGAAGUUUGUAUGUGGUUACCGAAUGUUGUUCGGAGUCCCGGAUGAGAUCCCGGACGUCACGAGGAGUUCCAGAAUGGUCCGGAGGUAAAGAUUUAUAUAUGGGAAGUCCUAUUUUGGCCACCGGAAAAUGUUCGGGAUUUUUCGGUAUUGUACUGGGAAGGUUCUAGAAGGUUCCGGAGUGGGGCCCACCUGCAUGGGGGGACCCACAUGAACGUGAGUAGUGGGGAAAGGCCCCACACCCCUGGUCAAGGCGCACCAAGAUCCCCCCUUAGAAGGAAUAAGAUCAUAUCCCGAAGGGAUAAGAUCAAGAUCCCUAAAAAGGGGGGAUAACAAUCGGUGGGGAAGGAAAUGAUGGGAUUUCUUUCCUCCCACCUUGGCCAACGCCCCAAUGGACUUGGAGGGCAAGAAACCAGCCCCUCCACCCCUAUAUAUAGUGGGGAGGCGCAUGGGAGCUUAACACAAGCCAAGGCGCAGCCCCUCCCCUCCCCAACACCUCUCCUCCUCCGUAUAUGCUUGGCGAAGCCCUGUCGGAGUACUGCUGCACCAACUACACCACGCCGUCGUGCUGCCGUUGGAGCAAUCUUCCUCAACCUCUCCUUCCCCCUUGCUGGAUCAAGAAGGAGGAGACGUCUCCCGUCCCGUACGUGUGUUGAACGCGGAGGUGCUGUCUGUUCAGCACUUGGACAUCGGUGAUCCGAAUCACGUUCGAGUACGACUCCAUCAUCACCAUCCCCUUUGCUAGCUUCCGCUCGUGAUCUACAAGUGGUAUGUAGAUGCAAACUCUCUCCCUUGACUCGUUGCUUAUAUGAACUCAUAGAUGGAUCUUGGUGAAACCGUAGGAAAAAUUUUAAUUUUCUGCAACGUUCCCCAACAGUGGCAUCAUGAGCUAGGUCUAUGCGUAGUUCUCUUUGCACGAGUAGAACACAAUUUUGUUGUGGGCGUGGAUUUUGUCAUCUUACUUGCCUCUACUAGUGUUUUCUUGCUUCGGCGGUAUUGUGGGAUGAAGCGGCCCGGACCAACCUUACACGUACGCUUACGUGAGACCGGUUCCACCGACUGACAUGCACUAGUUGCAUAAGGUGGCUGGCGGGUGUCUGUCUCUCCCACUUUAGUUGGAGCGGAUUCGAUGAAAAGGGCCCUUAUGAAGGGUAAAUAGAAGUUGACAAAAUCACGUUGUGGUUAUUCGUAGGUAAGAAAACAUUCUUGCUAGAACCCAAUUGCAGCCACGUAAAAGAUGCAACAACAAUUAGAGGACGCCUAACUUGUUUUUGCAGCGAUUGAUCAUGUGAUGUGAUAUGGCCAGAAGUUGUGAUGAAUGAUGAAUUGUGAUGUAUGAGAUCAUGUUCUUUGUAAUAGGAUUCAUGACUUGCAUGUUGAUGAGUAUGACAACCGGCAGGAGCCAUAGGAGUUGUCUUUAUUUUUUGUAUGACCUGCGUGUCAUUGAAGAACGCCAUGUAACUCACUUUACUUUAUUGCUAAACGCGUUAGCCAUAGAAGUAGAAGUAGUCGUUGGCGUGACAACUUCAUGAAGACACGAUGAUGGAGAUCAUGAUGAUGGAGAUCAUGGUGUCAAGCCGGUGACAAGAUGAUCAUGGAGCCCCGAAGAUGAAGAUCAAUGGAGCUAUAUGGUAUUGGCCAUAUCAUGUCACAACUAUAUAAUUGCAUGUGAUGUUUAUUAUGUUUAUGCAUCUUGUUUACUUAGGACGACGGUAGUAAAUAAGAUGAUCCCUUACAAAAAUUUCAAGAAGUGUUCUCCCCUAACUGUGCAUCGUUGCUACAGUUCGUCGCUUCUAAGCACCACGUGAUGAUCGGGUGUGAUGGAUUCUUACGUUCACAUACAACGGGUGUAAGACAGUUUUACACAGCGAAAACACUUAGGGUUAACUUGACGAGCCUAGCAUGUGCAGACAUGGCCUCGGAACACGGAGACCGAAAGGUCGAACACGAGUCGUAUGGAAGAUACGAUCAACAUGAGAAUGUUCACCGACGAUGACUAGUCCGUCUCACGUGAUGAUCGGACACGGCCUAGUCGACUCGGAUCGUGUAACACUUAGAUGACUAAAGGGAUGUCUAAUCUGAGUGGGAGUUCAUAAUUUGAUUAGAACUUAAUUAUCAUGAACUUAGUCUAAAACCUUUGCAAAUAUGUCUUGUAGAUCAAAUGGCCAACGCUCAUGUCAACAUGAACUUCAACGUGUUCCUAGAGAAAACCAAGCUGAAAUAUGAUGGCAGCAACUAUACGGACUGGGUCCGGAACCUGAGGAUCAUCCUCAUAGCUGCUAGGAAACAAUAUGUCCUAGAAGGACCGCUAGGUGACGCUCCCGUCCCAGAGAACCAAGACAUUAUGAAUGCUUGGCAAACUCGCGCUGAUGAUUACUCCCUCGUUCAGUGCGGCAUGCUUUACAGCUUAGAACCGGGGCUCCAAAAGCGUUUUGAGCAUCACGGAGCAUAUGAGAUGUUCGAAGAGCUGAAACUAGUUUUCCAAGCUCAUGCCCGGGUCGAGAGAUAUGAUGUCUUCGACAAGUUCUACAGUUGUAAGAUGGAGGAAAACAGUUCUGUCAGUGAGCACAUCCUGAAGAUGUCUGGGUUGCACAACCGUAUGACCCAGCUGAACAUUAACCUCCCAGAUGAGGCGGUCAUUGACAGAAUCCUCCAGUCGCUCCCACCAAGCUACAAGAGCUUUGUGAUGAACUACAACAUGCAGGGAAUGGAAAAGACCAUUCCUGAAGUGUUCUCGAUGCUGAAGUCAGCAGAGGCUGAAAUCAAGAAAGAACAUCAAGUGUUGAUGGUCAAUAAGACCACUAAGUUCAAGAAGGGCAAGGGUAAGAAGAACUUCAAGAAGGACGGCAAGGAGGUUGCCGUGCCUGGUAAGCCAGUUACCGGGAAGAAGUCAAAGAAUGGACCUAAGCCUGAGACUGAGUGCUUUUAUUGCAAGGGGAAGGGUCACUGGAAGUGGAACUACCCCAAAUACUUAGCAGAUAAGAAGGCCGACAAAACCAAAGGUAUAUUUGAUAUACAUGUAAUUGAUGUGUACCUUACCAGUACUCGAAGUAACUCCUGGGUAUUUGAUACCGGUGCCGUUGCUCAUAUUUGUAACUCACAGCAGGAGCUGCGGAAUAAACGGAGACUGGCGAAGGACGAGGUGACGAUGCGCGUCGGGAAUGGUUCCAGAGUCGAUGUGAUCGCCGUCGGCACGCUGCCUCUACAUUUACCUACGGGAUUAGUUUUGAACCUUAAUAAUUGUUAUUUAGUGCCAAGUUUGAGCAUGAACAUUGUAUCUGGAUCUCGUUUAAUACGAGAUGGCUACUCAUUUAAGUCUGAGAAUAAUGGUUGUUCGAUUUAUAUGAGAGAUAUGUUUUAUGGUCGUGCUCCGAUGGUCAAUGGUUUAUUCUUAAUGAAUCUCGAGCGUAAUAUUACACAUGUUCAUAGUGUAGAUGCCAAAAGAUGUAAAGUUGAUAACGAUAGUCCCACAUACUUGUGGCACUGCCGCCUUGGUCACAUUGGUGUCAAGCGCAUGAAGAAGCUCCAUGCCGAUGGACUUUUAGAGUCUCUUGAUUAUGAAUCGUUUGACACGUGCGAACCAUGCCUCAUGGGCAAGAUGACCAAGACUUCGUUCUCCGGAACAAUGGAGCGAGCAACCAACUUAUUGGAAAUCAUACAUACCGAUGUGUGCGGUCCAAUGAGCGUUGAGGCUCGCGGAGGAUAUCGUUAUGUUCUCACUCUCACUGAUGACUUAAGUAGAUAUGGGUAUGUCUACUUAAUGAAACACAAGUCUGAGACCUUUGAAAAGUUCAAGGAAUUUCAGAAUGAGGUGGAGAAUCAACGUGACCGAAAGAUAAAGUGCCUACGAUCAGAUCGUGGAGGAGAAUAUUUAAGUCACGAAUUUGGCACACACUUAAGGAAAUGUGGAAUCGUUUCACAACUCACGCCACCUGGAACACCUCAGCGAAACGGUGUGUCCGAACGUCGUAAUCGCACUCUAUUGGAUAUGGUGCGGUCUAUGAUGUCUCUUACUGAUUUACCGCUAUCAUUUUGGGGAUACGCUCUAGAGACAGCUACAUUCACUUUAAAUAGGGCACCGUCUAAAUCCGUUGAGACGACACCGUAUGAAUUAUGGUUUGGGAAGAAACCUAAGCUGUCGUUUCUAAAAGUUUGGGGAUGCGAUGCUUAUGUCAAGAAACUUCAACCUGAAAAGCUCGAACCCAAGUCGGAAAAAUGCGUCUUCAUAGGAUACCCUAAGGAAACUGUCGGGUAUACCUUCUACUUAAGAUCCGAGGGCAAAAUCUUUGUUGCCAAGAACGGAUGCUUUCUGGAAAAAGAGUUUCUCUCCAAAGGAGGAAGUGGGAGGAAAGUAGAACUCGAUGAAGUACUACCUCUCGAACGGGAAAGUGGUGCAGCUCAGGAAAAUGUUCCUGUGAUGCCCACACCAACUGAAGAGGAAACCAAUGAUGAUGAUCAAGGUACUUCGGAUCAAGUUGCUACUGAACUUCGUAGGUCCACAAGGACACGUUCCGCACCAGAGUGGUACGGCAACCCCGUCCUGGAAAUCAUGUUGUUAGACAACGGUGAACCUUCGAACUAUGAAGAAGCGAUGGCGGGCCCAGAUUCCAACAAAUGGCUUGAAGCCAUGAAAUCCAAGAUAGAAUCCAUGUAUGAAAACAAAGUAUGGACUUUGACAGACUUGCCCGAUGAUCGGCGAGCGAUAGAAAACAAAUGGAUCUUUAAGAAGAAGACAGACGCGGAUGGUAAUGUCACCAUCUAUAAAGCUCGACUUGUCGCUAAGGGUUAUCGACAGGUUCAAGGGAUUGACUACAACGAGACAUUCUCUCCCGUAGCGAAGCUAAAGUCCGUCUGAAUCAUGUUAGCAAUUGCCGCAUACUAUGAUUAUGAGAUAUGGCAGAUGGACAUCAAAACAGCAUUCCUUAACGGGCAUCUUAAGGAAGAACUGUAUAUGAUGCAGCCGGAAGGUUUUGUUGAUCCUAAGAACGCUAACAAAGUAUGCAAGCUCCAGCGAUCCAUUUAUGGGCUGGUGCAAGCAUCUCGGAGUUGGAAUAUUCGCUUUGAUGAGAUGAUCAAAGCGUUUGGGUUUAUGCAGACUUAUGGAGAAGCCUGCGUUUACAAGAAAGUGAGUGGGAGCUCUGUAGCAUUUCUCAUAUUAUAUGUAGAUGACAUACUCUUGAUGGGAAAUAAUAUAGAAUUUCUGGACAGCAUUAAGGCCUACUUGAAUAAGUGUUUUUCAAUGAAGGACCUUGGAGAAGCUGCUUACAUAUUAGGCAUCAAGAUCUAUAGAGAUAGAUUGAGACGCCUCAUAGGUCUUUCACAAAGCACAUACCUUGAUAAGAUUUUGAAGAGGUUCAAAAUGGAUCGGUCCAAGAACGGGUUCUUGCCUAUGUUACAAGGUGUGAGAUUGAGCUCGGCUCAGUCACCGACCACGGCAAAAGAUAAAGAAGAGAUGAGUGUCAUCCCCUAUGCUUCAGCCAUAGGAUCUAUUAUGUAUGCCAUGCUGUGUACCAGACCUGAUGUAAACCUUGCCGUGAGUUUGGUAGCUAGAUACCAAAGUAAUCCCGGCAAGGAACACUGGACAGCAGUCAAGAAUAUCCUGAAGUACCUGAAAAGGACAAAGGACAUGUUUCUCGUUUAUGGAGGAGACGAAGAGCUUGUCGUAAAGGAUUACGUCGACGCUAGCUUCGACUCAGAUCCGGAUGACUCUAAGUCACAAACCGGAUACGUGUAUAUGUUGAAUGGUGGAGCAGUAAGCUGGUGCAGCUGCAAGCAGAGCGUCGUGGCGGGAUCUACGUGUGAAGCGGAGUACAUGGCAGCCUCGGAGGUAGCGCAUGAAGCGAUUUGGGUGAAGGAGUUCAUCACCGACCUAGGAGUCAUGCCCAAUGCGUCGGGGCCAAUCAAACUCUUCUGUGACAACACUGGAGCUAUUGCCCUUGCCAAGGAGCCCAGGUUUCACAAGAAGACCAGGCACAUCAAGCGUCGUUUCAACUCCAUCCGUGAAAAUGUUCAAGAUGGAGACAUAGAAAUUUGCAAAGUACAUACGGAUCUGAAUGUCGCAGAUCCGUUGACUAAACCUCUCUCGCGAGCUAAACAUGAUCAACACCAGAACUCUAUGGGCGUUCGAUUCAUCACAAUGUAACUAGAUUGGUGACUCUAGUGCAAGUGGGAGACUGUUGGAAAUAUGCCCUAGAGGCAAUAAUAAAAGUAUUAUUAUAUUUCAUUGUUCAUGAUAAUUGUCUUUUAUUCAUGCUAUAAUUGUAUUAUCCGGAAAUCGUAAUACACGUGUGAAUACAUAGACCUCAAUAUGUCCCUAGUGAGCCUCUAGUUGACUAGCUCGUUGUGAUCAACAGAUAGUCAUGAUUUCCUGGCUAUGGACAUUGGAUGUCGUUGAUAACGGGAUCACAUCAUUAGGAGAAUGAUGUGAUGGACAAGACCCAAUCCUAAGCAUAGCACAAAGGUCGUUUAGUUCGUUUGCUAGAGCUUUGCCAAUGUCAAGUAUCUCUUCCUUAGACCAUGAGAUCGUGUAACUCCCAGAUACCGUAGGAGUGCCUUGGGUGUAUCAAACGUCACAACGUAACUGGGUGACUAUAAAGGUGCAUUACAGGUAUCUCCGAAAGUAGCUGUUGGGUUGACACGGAUCGAGACUGGGAUUUGUCACUCCGUAUGACGGAGAGGUAUCUCUGGGCCCACUCGGUAAUGCAUCAUCAUAAUGAGCUCAAGGUGACCAAAGUGUUGGCCACGAGAUCAUGCAUUACGGUACGAGUAAAGUGACUUGCCGGUAACGAGACUGAACAAGGUAUUGGGAUACCGACGAUCGAGUCUCGGGCAAGUAACGUACCGAUUGACAAAGGGAAUUGUAUACAGGGUUUGAUCGAAUCCUCGACAUCGUGGUUCAUCCGAUGACAACAUCGAGAAGCAUGUGGGAGCCAACAUGGGUAUCCAGAUCCCGCUGUUGGUUAUUGACCGGAGAACGUCUCGGUCAUGUCUACAUGUCUCCCGAACCCGUAGGGUCUACACACUUAAGGUUCGAUGACGCUAGGAUUAUGAAGGAAGUUUGUAUGUGGUUACCGAAUGUUGUUCGGAGUCCCGGAUGAGAUCCCGGACGUCACGAGGAGUUCCGGAAUGGUCCGGAGGUAAAGAUUUAUAUAUGGGAAGUCCUAUUUUGGCCACCGGAAAAUGUUCGGGAUUUUUCGGUAUUGUGCCGGGAAGGUUCUAGAAGGUUCCGGAGUGGGGCCCACCUGCAUGGGGGGACCCACAUGAACGUGAGUAGUGGGGGAAAGGCCCCACACCCCUGGUCAAGGCGCACCAAGAUCCCCCCUUAGAAGGAAUAAGAUCAUAUCCCGAAGGGAUAAGAUCAAGAUCCCUAAAAAGGGGGGAUAACAAUCGGUGGGGAAGGAAAUGAUGGGAUUUCUUUCCUCCCACCUUGGCCAACGCCCCAAUGGACUUGGAAGGCAAGAAACCAACCCCUCCACCCCUAUAUAUAGUGGGGAGGCGCAUGGGAGCUUAACACAAGCCAAGGCGCAGCCCCUCCCCUCCCCAACACCUCUCCUCCUCCGUAUAUGCUUGGCGAAGCCCUGUCGGAGUACUGCUGCACCAACUACACCACGCCGUCGUGCUGCCGUUGGAGCAAUCUUCCUCAACCUCUCCUCCCCCCUUGCUGGAUCAAGAAGGAGGAGACGUCUCCCGUCCCGUACGUGUGUUGAACGCGGAGGUGCUGUCCGUUCAGCACUUGGACAUCGGUGAUCCGAAUCACGUUCGAGUACGACUCCAUCAUCACCAUCCCCUUGGCUAGCUUCCGCUCGUGAUCUACAAGUGGUAUGUAGAUGCAAACUCUCUCCCUUGACUCGUUGCUUAGAUGAACUCAUAGAUGGAUCUUGGUGAAACCGUAGGAAAAAUUUUAAUUUUCUGCAACGUUCCCCAACAUCUUGUCCAUCACAUCAUUCUCCUAAUGAUGUGAUCCCGUUAUCAAUGACAUCCAAUGUCCAUGGUCAGAAAACCGUAACCAUCUAUUGAUCAACGAGCUAGUCAACUAGAGGCUUACUAGGGACAUGGUGUUGUCUAUGUAUCCACAGAUGUAUCUGAGUUUCCUAUCAAUACAAUUCUAGCAUGGAUAAUAAACGAUUAUCAUGAACAAGGAAAUAUAAUAAUAACUAAUUUAUUAUUGCCUCUAGGGCAUAUUUCCAACAGUCUCCCACUUGCACUAGAGUCAAUAAUCCAGUUCACAUCGAUAUGUGAUUAACACUCAAGGUCACAUCCCCAUGUGACUAACACCCAAAGAGUUUACUAGAGUCAAUAAUCUAGUUCACAUUACCAUGUGAUUAACACUCGAUGAGUUCUGGGUUUGAUCAUGUUAUGCUUGUGAGAGAUGUUAUAGUCAACGGGUCUGAAUCUUUCAGAUCCGUAUGUACUUCGCAAAUCUCUAUGUCAUCUUGUAGAUGCAGCUACUACGCUAUAUUUGGAGCUAUUCCAAAUAACUGUUCUACUAUACGAAUCCAGUCCACUACUCAGAAUAAUCUGGAUUAGUGUCAAAGUUUGCAUCGGCGUAACCCUUUACGACGAACUCUUUUACCACCUCCAUAAUCAAGAAAAUUCCUUAGUCCACUAGUUACUAAGGAUAACUUUGACCGCUGUCCUGUGAUCCAUUCUUGGAUCACUCUUGUACCCCUUGACUAACUCAUGGCAAGGCACACUUCAGGUGCGGUACACAGCAUAACAUACUGUAGAGAGCCUAUGAUAAAAGCAUAGGGGACGACCUUCGUCCUUCCUCUUUCUUCUGUCGUGGUCGAGCUUUAAGUCUUAACUUCAUACCUUACAACUCAGGCAAGAACUCCUUCUUUGACUGAUCCAUCUUGAACACCUUCAAGAUCAUGUCAAGGUAUGUGCUCAUUUGAAAGUACCAUUAAGCGUUUUGAUCUGUCCUUAUAGAUCUUGAUGCUCAAUGUUCAAGUAGCUUAAUCCAGGCUUUCCAUUGAAAAACACUUUCCAAAUAACCCUAUAUGCUUUCCAGAAAUUCUACGUCAUUUAUGAUCAACAAUAUGUCAACAACAUAUAUUUAUCAGAAAUUCUAUAGUGCUCCCACUCACUUCUUUGGAAAUACAAGUUUCUCAUAAACUUUGUAUAAACCCAAAAUCUUUGAUCAUCAUCAAAGCAUACAUUCCAACUCCGAGAUGCUUACUCCAGUCCCUAGAAGGAUUGCUGGAGCUUUGCAUACUUAUUAGCAUCUUUCAGGAUUGACAAAACCUUCCGGUUGUAUCACAUACAACCUUUCCUCAAGAAAAUCGUCGAGGAAACAAUGUUUUGACAUCCUAUCUGCAAGAUUUCAUAAAUAAUGCAGUAAUCGCUAAUAUAAUUCCAACAGACUCUUAGCAUCGCUACGAGUGAGAAAGUCUCAUCGUAGUCAACUCCUUGAACUUGUCGGAAAACAUCUUAACGACAAGUCGAGCUUUCUUAAUGGUGAUACUUACCAUCAUUGUCCGUCUUCCUUUCAAAAUCCAUAUGUACCUAAUAGCCUUACGACCAUCAAGUAGUUCUUCCAAAGUCUACACUUUGUUUUCAUACAUGGAUCCUAUCUCGGAUUUUAUGGCCUCGAGCCAUUUAUCGGAAUCCGGGCCCACCAUCGCUUCUCCAUGGCUCGUAGGUUCAUUGUUGUCUAGCAACAUGACUUCCAAGACAGGAUUACGUACCACUCUAAAGUAGUACGCAUCCUUGUCAUCCCACGAGGUUUGGUAGUGACUUGAUCUGAAGUUUCAUGAUCACUAUCAUAAGCUUCCACUUCAAUUGGUGUAGGUGCCACAGGAACAACUCUUGUGCCCUGCCACACACUAGUUGAAGAGACGGUUCAAUAACCUCAUCAAGUCUCCACCAUCCUCCCACUCAAUUCUUUCGAGAGAAACUUUUCCUCGAGAAAGGACCCGAUUCUAGAAACAAUCCCUUAUUGCUUUCGGAUCUGAGACAGGAGGUAUACCCAACUGUUUUGGGUGUCCUAUGAAGAUGCAUUUAUCCGCUUUGGGUUCGAGCUUAUCAGCCUGAAACUUUUUCACAUAAGCGUCGCAGCCCCAAACUUUUAAGAAAUGACAGCUUGGGUUUCUCUAAACCAUAGUUCAUACGGUGUCAUCUCAUCGGAAUUAUGUGGUGCCCUAUUUAAAGUGAAUGUGGUUGUCUUUAAUGCCUAACCCAUAAACUAUCGUGGUAAUUCGAUAAGAGACAUCAUGGUAUGCAUCAUAUCCAAUAGGGUGCAGUUAUGAUGUUCGGACACACCAUCACACUAUGGUGUUCCAGGCUGUAUUAGUUGUGAAACAAUUUCCACAAUGUCUUAAUUCUGUGCCAAACUCGUAAUUCAGAUAUUCAUCUCUAUGAUCAUAUCAUAGAUCUUUUAUCCUCUUGUCACAACGAUCUUUCAACUUCACCCUGAAAUUACUUGAACCUUUCAAUAAUUCAGACUCGUGAUUCAUCAAGUAAAUAUACUCAACAUCUACUCAAAUCAUCUAUGAAGUAAGACCAUAACGAUAUCCACUACACGCCUCAUCACUCAUUGGACUGCACACAUCAAAAAUGUAUUACUUCCAACAAGUUGCUUUCUAGUUCCAUUUUACUGAAAACGAGGCUUUCAGUCAUCUUGCCCAUGUGGUAUGAUUUGCAUGUCUCAAGUGAUUCAAAAUCAAGUGAGUCCAAACGAUCCAUUUGCAUGGAGUUUCUUCAUGCAUAUACACCAAUAGACAUGGCUCGCAUGUCUCAAACUUUUCAAAAACGAGUGAGCCCAAAGAUCCAUCAACAUGGAGCUUCUUCAUGCGUUUUACACCGAUAUGACUUACGUGGCAGUGCCAUAAGUAGGCGGUACUAUCAUUACUAUCCUAUAUCUUUUGGCAUGAACAUGUGUAUCACUACGAUCAAGAUUCAGUAAACCAUUCAUUUCAGGUGUAAGACCAUUGAAGGUAUUAUUCAAAUAAACAGAGUAACCAUUAUUCUCUUUAAAUGAAUAACCGUAUUGCGAUAGUCAUAAUCCAAUCAUGUCUAUGCUCAACGCAAACACCAAUCUCGAUGGUAGAGGGAGCGUGCGAUGCUUGAUCAUAUCAACAUUGGAAACACUUCCAACACAUAUCGUCAGCUCACCUUUAGCUAGUCUCCGUUUAUUCCGUAGCUUUUAUUUCGAGUUACUAACACUUAGCAACCGAACCGGUAUCCAAUAUCAUGGUGCUACUAGGAGUACUAGUAAAGUACACAUCAACACAAUGUAUAUCCAAUAUACGUCUAUCGACCUUGCCAGCCUUCUCAUCUACCAAGUAUCUAGGGUAAUUCUGCUCCAGUGGCUGUUCCCCUUAUUACAGAAGCACUUAGUCUCGGGUUUGGGUUCAACCUUGGGUUUCUUCACUAGAGCAGCAGCUGAUUUGCCAUUUCAUGAAGCAUCCCUUUUGCCCUUGCCCUCCUUGGAACUAGUGGUUUCACAAACCAUCAACAAUUGAUGCUCCUUCUUGAUCUCUACUUUUGUGGUGUCAAACAUCGCGAAUAUCUCAAGGAUCAUCAUAUAUGUCCCUGAUAUAUUAUAGUUCAUCACGAAGCUCAAACAGCUUGGUGGUAAUGACUUCGGAUAAACAUCACUAUAUCAUCUGGAAGAUCAACUCCCACUCGAUUCAAAUGAUUGUUGUACUCAGACAAUCUGAGCACAAGUUCAACAAUUGAGCUUUUCUCCCUUAGUUUGCAGGCUAAGAAAAUUGUCGGUGGUCUUAUACCUCUUGACGUGGGCACGAGCCUGAAAUCCCAAUUUCAACCCUCGAAACAUCUCAUAUGUUUCGCGACGUUUCAAAACGUCUUCGGUGCCUCAACUCUAAACCGUUUAACUGAACUAUCACGUAGUUAUCAAAAUGUGUAUGUCAGAUGUUCGCAACAUCCACAGACAACGUUCGAGGUUCAGCACACUGAGCGGUGCAUUAAGGACAUAAGCCUUCUAUGAAGCAAUGAGGACAAUCCUCAGUUUACGGACCUAGUCCGUAUAAUUGAUACUACCAACUUUCAACUAAAUUUUCUCUAGGAACAUAUCUAAACAGUAGAACUAAAACGCGAGCUACGACAUAAUUUGCGAAGAUCUUUUGACUAUGUUCGGGAUAAUUAAGUUCAUCUUAUGAACUCCCACUCAGAUAGACAUCCCUCUAGUCAUCUAAGUGAUUACAUGAUCCGAGUCAACUAGGCCGUGUCCGAUCAUCACGUGAGACGGACUAGUCAACAUCGGUGAACAUCUUCAUGUUGAUCGUAUCUACCAUAUGACUCAUGCUCGACCUUUCGGUCUCUCAUGUUCCGAGGCCAUGUCUGUACACAUGCUAGGCUCGUCAAGUCAACCUAAGUGUUUCGCGUGUGUAAAUCUGUCUUACACCUGUUGUAUGUGAACGUAAGAAUCUAUCACACCCGAUCAUCACGUGGUGCUUCGAAACGACGAACUUUCGUAACGGUGCACAGUUAGGGGGAACACUUUCUUGAAAUUUUAAUGAGGGAUCAUCUUAUUUACUACCAUCGUUCUAAGCAAAUAAGAUGUAUAAACAUGAUAAACAUCACAUGCAAUCAAAUAGUGACAUGAUAUGGCCAAUAUCAUAUUGCUCCUUUUGAUCUCCAUCUUUGGGGCUCCAUGAUCAUCAUCGUCAACGGCAUGACACCAUGAUCUCCAUCAUCAUGAUCUCCAUCAUUGUGUCUCCAUGAAGUUGUCUCGCCAACUUAUUACUUCUACUACUACAGCUAACGGGUAGCAAUAAAGUAAAGUAAUUACAUGACGUUUAUGUUGACACGCAGGUCAUAAAUAAGUUAAGACAACUCCUAUGGCUCCUGCCGGUUGUCAUACUCAUCGACAUGCAAGUCAUGAUUCCUAUUACAAGAACAUGAUCAAUCUCAUACAUCACAUAUAUCAUUCAUCACAUCCUUUUGGCCAUAUCACAUCACAUAGCAUACCCUGCAAAAACAAGUUAGACGUCCUCUAAUUGUUGUUUGCAUGUUUUACGUGGCUGCUAUGGGUUUCUAGCAAGAACGUUUCUUACCUAUGCAAAAACCACAACGUGAUAUGCCAAUUGCUAUUUACCCUUCAUAAGGACCCUUUUCAUCGAAUCUGAUCCAACUAAAGUGGGAGAGACAGACACCCGCCAGCCACCUUAUGCAACUAGUGCAUGUCAAUCGGUGGAACCGGUCUCACGUAAGCGUACGUGUAAGGUUGGUCCGGGCCGCUUCAUCCCACGAUGCCGCCGAAUCAAGAUUGGACUAGUAACGGUAAGCAUAUUGAACAAAAUCAACGCCCACAACUACUUUGUGUUCUACUCGUGCAUAGAAACUACGCAUAGACCUAGCUCAUGAUGCCACUGUUGGGGAACGUAGCAAUAAUUCAAAAUUUUCCUACGUGUCACCAAGAUCAAUCUAAGGAGUCAUCUAGCAACAAGGGAGGAGUGGAUCUACAUACCCUUGUAGAUCACGCGCGGAAGCGUUCAAGAGAACGGGGUUGAUGGAGUCGUACUCGCCGUGAUCCAAAUCACCGAUGAUCCUAGCGCCGAACGGACGGCACCUCCGCGUUCAACACACGUACGGAGCAGCGACGUCUCCUCCUUCUUGAUCCAGCAAGGGGGAAGGAGAGGUUGAUGGAGAUCCAACAGCACGACGGCGUGGUGGAGGAAGUAGCGGGAUUCCAACAGGGCUUCGCCAAGCGCUGCGGGAGGAGGGAGAUGUGUCAUGGGAGGGAGAGGGAGGUGCCAGGGCUUAGGUAUGGUUGCCCUCCCUUCCCCCCACUAUAUAUAGGGCCAAGGGAGAGGGGGGAGGCGCAGCCUUGGCCCUUCCUCCAAGGAAGGGUGCGGCCAAGGGGGGGAGGAGUCCAUCCUCCCCAAGGCACCUCGGAGGUGCCUUCCCCUUUAGGACUCUCCCCUCCUCUUGUCCCUUUGGUGCAUGGGCCUCUAGGGGCUGGUUCCCUUGGCCCAUGUAGGCCAAGGCGCACCCCCUACAGCCCAUGUGGCCCCCGGGGGCAGGUGGCCCCACCCGGUGGACCCCCGGGACCCUUCCGGUGGUCCCGGUACAAUACCGGUGACCCCGAAACUUGUCCCGAUGGCCGAAAUAGCACUUCCUAUAUAUAAUUCUUUACCUCCGGACCAUUCCGGAACUCCUCGUGACGUCCGGGAUCUCAUCUGGGACUCCGAACAACUUUCGGGUUACCGCAUACUAAUAUCUCUAUAACCCUAGCGUCACCGAACCUUAAGUGUGUAGACCCUACGGGUUCGGGAGACACGUAGACAUGACCGAGACGACUCUCCGGCCAAUAACCAACAACGGGAUCUGGAUACCCAUGUUGGUUCCCACAUGUUCCACGAUGAUCUCAUCGGAUGAACCACGAUGUCAAGGACUUAAUCAAUCCCGUAUACAAUUCCCUUUGUCUAGCAGUACGAUACUUGCCCGAGAUUCGAUCAUCGGUAUCCCGAUACCUUGUUCAAUCUCGUUACCGGCAAGUCUCUUUACUCGUUUCGUAACACAUCAUCCCGUGAUCAACUCCUUGAUCACAUUGUGCACAUUAUGAUGAUGUCCUACCGAGUGGGCCCAGAGAUACCUCUCCGUUUACACGGAGUGACAAAUCCCAGUCUCGAUUCGUGCCAACCCAACAGACACUUUCGGAGAUACCUGUAGUGUACCUUUAUAGCCACCCAGUUACGUUGUGACGUUUGGCACACCCAAAGCACUCCUACGGUAUCCGGGAGUUGCACAAUCUCAUGGUCUAAGGAAACGAUACUUGACAUUUUAGAAAAGCUUUAGCAUACGAACUACAUGAUCUUUGUGCUAGGCUUAGGAUUGGGUCUUGUCCAUCACAUCAUUCUCCUAAUGAUGUGAUCCCGUUAUCAAUGACAUCCAAUGUCCAUGGUUAGGAAACCGUAACCAUCUAUUGAUCAACGAGCUAGUCAACUAGAGGCUUACUAGGGACAUGGUGUUGUCUAUGUAUCCACACAUGUAUCUGAGUUUCCUAUCAAUACAAUUCUAGCAUGGAUAAUAAACGAUUAUCAUGAACAAGGAAAUAUAAUAAUAACUAAUUUAUUAUUGCCUCUAGGGCAUAUUUCCAACACCUUUUCCAUCCAGUCUGCCCUUAUGCCGCGAUUCAGGAACACCAAUCGGCUUAAGGUCAGGAAUAAAGUCAAUACAAAACUCAAUGACCUCCUCAUUUUGACAGCCCUUGGAGAUGCUUCCUUCUGGCCUAGCACGGUUAUGAACAUAUUUCUUUAAGACUCCCAUGAACCUCUCAAAGGGGAACAUAUUGUGUAGAAAUACAGGACCCAAAACGUUAAUCUCUUCGCAUAGGUGAACUAGGACGUGCGUCAUGAUGUUGAAGAAGGAUGGUGGGAACACCAACUCGAAACUGACAAGACAUUGCACCAAAUCAUUCUCUAACCUUGGUAUGAUUUCUGGAUCGAUUACCUUCUGAGAGAUUGCAUUGAGAAAUGCACAUAGCUUCACAAUGGCUAAUCGAACGUUUUCCGGUAGAAGCCCCCUCAAUGCAACCGGAAGCAGUUGCGUCAUAAUCACAUGGCAGUCAUGAGACUUUAGGUUCUGAAACUUUUUCUCUGCCAUGUUUGUUAUUCCCUUUAUAUUCGACGAGAAGCCAGACGGUACCUUAAUACUGAGCAGACAUUCAAAGAAGAUUUCCUUCUCUUAUUUGGUAAGAGCAUAGCUUGCAUGACCCUGAUGUAUGCCGUCUUUUCCGUGCAUACGUUGCUGGUCCUCUCGUGCCUCAGGUGUAUCUUUUGUCUUCCCAUACACGCCCAAGAAGCCAAGCAGGGUCACACAAAGAUUCUUCGUCACGUGCAUCACGUCGAUUGCGGAGCGGACCUCUAGGUCUUUCCAAUAGGGCAGGUCCCAAAAUAUAGAUUUCUUCUUCCACAUGGGUGCGCGUCCGUCAGCGUCAUUCGGAACAGGUUGUCCACCAGGACCCUUUCCAAAGACCACCUUCAAAUCCUUGACCAUAUCAUGUACAUCAGCACCAGUACGGUGGCGAGGCUUCGUCCGGUGAUCCGCCUCACCUUUGAAAUGCUUGCCUUUCUUUCUUACAGGAUGCCUGCUCGGAAGAAAUCGACGAUGUCCCAGGUACACAAUCUUCUUACAAUUAGCCAAACAUAUACUGUCGGUAUCAUCCAAACAGUGCGUGCAUGCGCGGUAUCCCUUGUUUGUCUGUCCUGAAAGGUUACUAAGAGCAGGCCAAUCAUUGAUGGUCAUGAACAGCAACGCCUUUAGGUCAAAUUCUUCCCCCAUGUGCUCAUUGUCGUGGUUCUAACUCUGACAGUGAUGUAGGGGGUGAAUAUGGAGAGGCUAGAUCUUAGCUAUUGGGAAGUUGUUACACGCGAGGUUUACGAGUUCAGGCCCUUCUCAGAGGAAGUAAUAGCCCUACGUCUCGGAUCCCGGAGGCGGUCGACUGGAUUAUGCGUGUAUGGAUUACCGGGGUGCGAACCCUUCACACUGAGGAGGGGGGUGGCUUAUAUAGAGUUCGCCGGACCCCUCCUGCCCUCAGUAAUGCAGGGUUUAAGGUACAUUUAAGGUUGGGCGUUACUGGUAACGCCCCUAGUAAAGUGCUAUAAUGAUCAUAAAGACUACUUAACAGCCGACCGUUUGCCUGUGGAGUGACUUUAGGUCUCCUGGCAGUCGAGUGGUUGGCUUCAUGGUCGAGUGAUAGCUUCUUGGUCGAGUGUCUUGAACCCGUCGAGUGGGAUACCUUCAAGUCGAUUGAAAGGUGACUUCUUCUAGGGGUGUCCUAGGGUAGGACUCUUUGGUCAGGUCCAUGUCCCUACCCUAGGUACAUGUCUUCAUCAUUAGCCCCCGAAUGGAUCGAGGUUAGAGUGGGGAAAGAGUUGGGGAUCUUUCCGACUGGUUCUUCGGGCUAUGUGAGCGCCUCGUUUUGGGUCAAUCGUCACGGAUGACGUUACCAACCUUUUUCAGUUGCCUUGAUCCAUUCCAGGCCUUUCGUCGAGUGAAUUUCUUUGUUUGUGACAUACCGAGCGCCGGCGCGAUCGGGGUCUUCUGUUUUGACAAGGUGUCCUGCGGCCCGCGGAUGUCGCGGGAUUCGGAUUUUGGGAAGCGCGCGGGACGGGAGCGGCCGCAGUAAUCGGAAGCGAUAAAGCGGAAGCCCCUCGAUUCCCGUGUUGCCUUUUUCGCCACGUACUGCGUGCGCGUCUGCUGCGGGAUUUGACCGGAUGGCCUGGGCCUACUAGUCAGCCACUCGGUAGCGGUCCCUUAUAAAUCGCUGAUUCGGGGUUUUCAAGCAGUGCACUCUCUUCUCCUCCUUUCUUCCGCCUCUCCCCCUUCGCAAGUCCUUCCGCCACCUCCGUUCUCGCCCCAGCGCAGCAGGCCAGUGCGAGACUUCGCCGGCAACGAUGACGAAGAGCAAGACCUCCGCUCUGGAGCGCGCGAAGAAGGCGGCGGCGGCGGGGAAAGGAAAGAGGUCUACUCGGGGCGGAUCCUCCUCCAGGACCGCUCUGCCCAUAGGUUGGAUCCAGGGCAACUUGAUGCCAUCGGUGCUCCGGCAAGAGGAUCUUGACGACAUGGUCGAGGGGGGAGUCAUUCCCCAUGAAGCUGCGCGUCUUCCAGGGGGAGAGAUCGAACCUCAACCCCGCGACGGUGAGUGCGUGCUCCUAGCCACCCACAUCGACCGAGGGUUUUCUCUGCCGCCCCAUCCUUUCUUCCGGAGUUUCCUGAAUUUCUUUAGAGCGCAGCUCCACCACUUCACUCCCAACUCCAUUGUCUACCUUACUGCUUUCAUCUCCAUGUGUGAGGCUUUCUUGGGUUGUCGACCCCAUUGGGGACUCUUCAAACACAUCUUUACCUGUCGUUCUCAAUCGGUCAAGAAGGCUAAGUCGAGUGACGAGAGGACGCAGGUGAUCUAGCUGUGCGGGGGCCUGGCGAUCCAGACGAGGGGGAAGAGUUGUUUUCCAUCUAUCACCUUCCCGGAGUCGGUCCGUGGCUGGCAGUCGACUUGGUUCUACUGCAAGGACGAGGCGACCCCCGGACAGUCGACUGGUCUUCCUCCUUUUUCCCUCGACCGAGCCGAGAAGCCUACCUCUCUGAAAAUCGUGCCGGAGGAAAAGUCCCAAGUCAAGGUGCUGGCAGGUCGAGUGGUUGAGCUUGUCCGCGAGGGCGUGACUGGUAUGGACCUACUGGAGGUCUUUCUUCAAAGGCGCAUCCAACCGCUCCAGGCCCGCGACCAUCCGAUGUGGCUGUAUUCGGGUCUUGACGACACCACUCGGGUCCACCCGGAGGAGGUCACCGACGAGAUGGUGGAGGGGUGGCUGUCGAGCAUCACGGGGAACAAAGACAACCCCCGAGGAGCCAGGAGGGUAACCCCACUCGACAACUCAUAUGAGGUGGACCAGGUAUGUCUUUGUGCUCCCGACUGAUAUCUUGUCUUCUGCAUUGGUCUUCUUUGAAUAAGUCGAUUGACUUUUGUCUUGCCUGUUGUUUUCCAGGCGACCACCGAGAUGUACUCGACGCCCAACGGGGCAUAGGGGUCNNNNNNNNNNNNNNNNNNNNNNNNNNNNNNNNNNNNNNNNNNNNNNNNNNNNNNNNNNNNNNNNNNNNNNNNNNNNNNNNNNNNNNNNNNNNNNNNNNNNNNNNNNNNNNNNNNNNNNNNNNNNNNNNNNNNNNNNNNNNNNNNNNNNNNNNNNNNNNNNNNNNNNNNNNNNNNNNNNNNNNNNNNNNNNNNNNNNNNNNNNNNNNNNNNNNNNNNNNNNNNNNNNNNNNNNNNNNNNNNNNNNNNNNNNNNNNNNNNNNNNNNNNNNNNNNNNNNNNNNNNNNNNNNNNNNNNNNNNNNNNNNNNNNNNNNNNNNNNNNNNNNNNNNNNNNNNNNNNNNNNNNNNNNNNNNNNNNNNNNNNNNNNNNCAGGGGUCGACUGAGGAAGGGGAGGCGAGCGGAGGCGAGAGCGGGGACGACCAAGGCGAGUGGGAGUCCGACGGUGAGGGAGAGGGAGGCGACGACAUCUUCUCCAGCGAAGGGGAGGAGGAGGAGGUUGAACCCCCCCGCCCGGAGGGGCGAUCCAAGCUCACCCACGAUCCAGCGCGGGAACGUGGCAAGGCGACCGCUCCUGUUGGGCAGUCGUCGAAACGCCCUCGGACCUCUUCUCCUCCGCCGACUGGGAAGGCUCCCAAGAAUCCACGAGCGACGCCAUCCAAGCCGCCCAAGGCUCUACCCAAGAUGAAGAUAGCUGUUCCUACCAUUUCCGGGUAAUAAUAAGACUUGCUUUCCUUUGUCGACCGUGGACGAAUCCUUGGUCAAUUCACUGAACCAACUGAUUGACUUUCGAGAUUUGCAGCGGUGCUACUUCUGAGGUCUCCGCCAGGAAAGAUGACCAAGAGAUGGAGGACGCUGUUACCUUCAACCCUGGUACGAUUGCUGACGUCCUGCCUUUGAGUCGACUGAACUUUUAUUGCUACUCUGGUCGAUUGAAUGUUUUCCUUGUAGCUCCUCCUCAUGUUAUCGACCUCCCGGAUGACGACGACGACGGUCCGUUGAGAGUGAGGAGGCAUAAGAGGGCGUCGGCUGACAAGACCCCCCAAUCCGCUCCGGCGUCCGAGGCCGUGGCUCGGGAUGGUGGUGACACCACUCGGGCUUCUAUGACCUUCGCCGUUCCUCUGGCGAGUGCGCAGCCCUCGGUGUCGACUGUGGAUCCACCUUCGCUUUUUGCUGCGUGCCCCGUCCCUGAGGACCAAGCGGCUGCUGCAAAGGAGGCUAUACGCCAGGCGGGGAUCAUGAUGGAGCAAGUGAAGAUGGCUCGGGAGGCCAGCCAAGCAGCCUAUGACGCGAGUUCGGCUCUUCAGAGCAAUGUCCAGGUCAGUCGACUCGACACUUGGUCUGUUAUGAUAUGCUGUUUGAAGAGUCUCUUUUCCGAAGAUCUUUUGUAUCUGUAUCUGUACACCCACUGGGUGUGUCUGCCAACCCUUUGGACGAGUGGGGGCACGCUAAGUGCACCCACUGGGUGUAGUCCCCGAGACUACGGUGGACUGCUGGCAUUCGACUGUAGUCUUUACGUUGUGUUGCUGUAGCUGUAUUUCUUCACUCGGUUUGGUCGGGUCAGGUCGAGUGGAAUUAUAUCCGGUCGACUGCGGGCAGUCGACUUUUUUUUUUGGUCGAACCAGUGGGGGCACGCUGAGUGCACCCACUGGGUGUAGUCCCCGAGACUACUGUCGAAUGUUUUUGAUUCGGCUGUGGUCUUAGAAACGUCAUUAUUGUCUCUUAGUUACUCGGAAGCAACUUAUCUUGGAAGUCUGUCGACUGAUUUUCCUUUUUACAGAAAUCUUGCGAACUUGUAGCUCGCUAUACUGAGUUGGAGAAUCAGCAGAUCCAGCUCAACCUUAGCUUGAAGCUUGCUCAGGAGAAUUUGAGGAAGGCGCAAGAAGAAGCGAAAGGUAUGGCUGGUGAGGUUCUCUAUUCUUAACGGGUGGCUUUUCUUUCUUCUCCAUUCUUGAUGUUGGUUCCACUCGACGCGCCACAGAUAAACUGGAGGAAGCUCUAAAGAAGAAGGACCAAGACCUUGCAGAGGCACAGAAGGAGGCCUCAAGCAAAACGAAGCUUGCAGAGGAGAAAUUGGCUUCGGUCGGAGCUCUUGAACAGGAGAACUCCAGACUGAAAACCGCUCUCGAGACAGCUAAUCGAGAUGCCAGUCGACUGAAGAAGGAGAAGAUGGCUCUGCACGACAAGGCGGGUGAGCUGGUGGGGAAGGUAAAAGAUCUGGAAGCUUAUCUCGGUGGACUUGCCAAGAAGUUGUUCGUCAUGCUCGAAGGUAAUUACUCUGCCCCGACUGUCUUGCAGUUUGCCGAGCCUGCGUAGGGCCACUGUCUUACUCUUGAAUCGUGUUUGCAUAAUUCUGUCAGAACUUUGAAGAGGAGACCAGUCGAGUGGAGCCAAGCUUGGACCCUGUUAACUCUCUUGUGAAGGACGAGGCUGCCAUGAACGUGCUCCGACUAGAGUCUUGUGUUGCCAGCGUCGUUGAUUAUCUGGCUCGGCUGAAAGUUGCAAUGUCGCGGAUCGACACAUCACUCUGGCCUGGGACGACGCUUCGGAACGACCUCGAGUCUCUGAUGGCUCGACUUAACGAAGUCCCAGGUCGAGUGGCGGAAUGGAAGAAAUCUUCUGCUAGAUGUGGUGCUGAUGUCGCUCUGUCUCUGGUCCGCGUCCAUUGCAAGGAGGCGCGAGAAGAAAAGCUGGUGGCCAUCCAAGUUGCAAAUACCAGGAAGCACGGCUUUCAAGACUUCAUGGAGACCUUCAUCGCCGCUGCCACCCGUAUUGCCGACGGGAUCGACUUGGAUGAGUUCAUCGCCCCUUCCAGUCCUCCUCCUGACGAGUGAAAAACUUUAAAUUUACCUCGGAAUGCAGAGUGGAUUUGUAACCGUUAAACUUUGCCUUAAAUUUGCCUCGGGAUGCCGAGUGGACUUGUAACAGUUAAACUUUGCCGAGCCGCGGGCUCGAGUACUUUGAGGUCUGGGACCUUUUAGGCUUUAUCCGAAAUCGAUUUCUCGUCGGGCAUCUUCAUGGUUAGAUUCGUCGAGUGGAACUUGAUCUUCACUCGGAAUGACCUUGUAUUUGCGGCGCAAUUCCGAAGGGGGAGUUAGCAGUCGACUCGCGGAUUGGGUCGAGUCUUGAACUUAGGCGAGCACUGGGCUGCAGCUAAGCCCCCGAGUGGGAGGUUUGCUCUCCACUUGGUAGGAUUUUUAAACACUUAGGCGAGUGCCGGACUGCAGCUAAGUCUCUAAGUGAGAGAAUUUAGGCGAGUGCCAGACUGCAGCUAAGCCCCCGAGUGGGAGGAUCGCUCUCCACUCGGUAGGAUUUUUUCAAACUUAGGCGAGUGCCGGACUGCAGCUAAGUCUCUAAGUGAGAGAACUUAGGCGAGUGCUGGACUGCAGCUAAGCCCCCGAGUGGGAGGUUUGCUCUCCACUCGGUAGGAUUNNNNNNNNNNNNNNNNNNNNNNNNNNNNNNNNNNNNNNNNNNNNNNNNNNNNNNNNNNNNNNNNNNNNNNNNNNNNNNNNNNNNNNNNNNNNNNNNNNNNNNNNNNNNNNNNNNNNNNNNNNNNNNNNNNNNNNNNNNNNNNNNNNNNNNNNNNNNNNNNNNNNNNNNNNNNNNNNNNNNNNNNNNNNNNNNNNNNNNNNNNNNNNNNNNNNNNNNNNNNNNNNNNNNNNNNNNNNNNNNNNNNNNNNNNNNNNNNNNNNNNNNNNNNNNNNNNNNNNNNNNNNNNNNNNNNNNNNNNNNNNNNNNNNNNNNNNNNNNNNNNNNNNNNNNNNNNNNNNNNNNNNNNNNNNNNNNNNNNNNNNNNNNNNNNNNNNNNNNNNNNNNNNNNNNNNNNNNNNNNNNNNNNNNNNNNNNNNNNNNNNNNNNNNNNNNNNNNNNNNNNNNNNNNNNNNNNNNNNNNNNNNNNNNNNNNNNNNNNNNNNNNNNNNNNNNNNNNNNNNNNNNNNNNNNNNACUGGGCCACAGCUAAGCCCCCGAGUGGGAGGUUUGCUCUCCACUCGAUAGGAUUUUUUCAAACUUAGGCGAGUGCCGGACUGCGGCUAAGUCUCUAGGCAAGAGAACUUAGGUGAGUGCUGGACUGCAGCUAAGCCCCCGAGUGGGAGGAUCGCUCUCCACUCGGUAGGAUUUUUAAAUACUUAGGCGAGCACUGGGCUGCAGCUAAGCCCCCGAGUGGGAGGUUUGCUCUUCACUCGGUAGGAUUUUUAAACACUUAGGCGAGCACUGGGCCGCAGCUAAUGUUGGAAAUAUGCCCUAGAGGCAAUAAUAAAUUGAUUAUUAUUAUAUUUCCUUGUUCAUGAUAAUCGUUUAUUAUCCAUGCUAGAAUUGUAUUGAUAGGAAACUCAGAUACAUGUGUGGAUACAUAGACAACACCAUGUCCCUAGUAAGCCUCUAGUUGACUAGCUCGUUAAUCAAUAGAUGGUUACGGUUUCCUGACCAUGGACAUUGGAUGUCGUUGAUAACGGGAUCACAUCAUUAGGAGAAUGAUGUGAUGGACAAGACCCAAUCCUAAGCCUAGCACAAGAUCAUGUAGUUCGUAUGCUAAAGCUUUUCUAAUGUCAAGUAUCAUUUCCUUAGACCAUGAGAUUGUGCAACUCCCGGAUACCGUAGGAGUGCUUUGGGUGUGCCAAACGUCACAACGUAACUGAGUGGCUAUAAAGGUACACUACGGGUAUCUCUGAAAGUGUCUGUUGGGUUGGCACGAAUCGAGAUUGGGAUUUUGUCACUCCGUGUAAACGGAGAGGUAUCUCUGGGCCCACUCAGUAGGACAUCGUCAUAAUGUGCACAAUGUGACCAAGGGGUUGAUCACGGGAUGAUGUGUUACGGAACGAGUAAAGAGACUUGCCGGUAACGAGAUUGAACAAGGUAUCGGUAUACCAACGAUCGAAUCUCGGGCAAGUACCAUACCGCUAGACAAAGGGAAUUGUAUACGGGAUUGAUUGAGUCCUUGACAUCGUGGUUCAUCCGAUGAGAUCAUCGUGGAACAUGUGGGAGCCAACAUGGGUAUCCAGAUCCCGCUGUUGGUUAUUGACCGGAGAGCAUCUCGGUCAUGACUACAUGUCUCCCGAACCCGUAGGGUCUACACACUUAAGGUUCGAUGACGCUAGGGUUAUAAAGGAAGUUUGUAUGUGGUUACCGAAUGUUGUUCGGAGUCCCGGAUGAGAUCCCGGACGUCACGAGGAGUUCCGGAAUGGUCCGGAGGUAAAGAUUUAUAUAUAGGAAGUCCUGUUUCGGUCAUCGGGACAAGUUUCGGGGUCAUCGGUAUUGUACCGGGACCACCGGAAGGGUCCCGGGGGCCCACCGGGUGGGGCCACCUGCCCCGGGGGGCCACAUGGGCUGUAGGGGGUGCGCCUUGGCCUACAUGGGCCAAGGGCACCAGCCCCUAGAGGCCCAUGCGCCAAGAUAUAGGAAAAAGGGGAGAGUCCUAAAGGGGGAAGGCACCUCCGAGGUGCCUUGGGGAGGAUGGACUCCUCCCCCCCUCUUAGCCGCACCCCUUCCUUGGAGGAAGGGGCAAGGCUGCGCCUCCCCCCUCUCCCCUGCCCCUAUAUAUAGUGGAGGGGAGGGAGGGCAUCCAUACCUGAGCCCUUGGCGCCUCCCUCCCUCCCGUGACACCUCCUCCUCUCCCGUAGGUGCUUAGCGAAGCCCUGCAGGAUUGCCACGCUCCUCCAUCACCACCACGCCGUUGUGCUACUGCUGGAUGGAUUCUUCCUCAACCUCUCCCUCUCUCCUUGCUGGAUCAAGGCGUGGGAGACAUCGUCGAGCUGUACGUGUGUUGAACGCGGAGGUGCCGUCCGUUCGGCACUAGGAUCAUCGGUGAUCUGAAUCACGACGAGUACGACUCCAUCAACCCCGUUCACUUGAACGCUUCCGCUUAGCGAUCUACAAGGGUAUGUAGAUGCACUCUCCUUCCCCUCGUUGCUGGUUUCUCCAUAGAUAGAUCUUGGUGACACGUAGGAAAAUUUUGAAUUUCUGCUACGUUCCCCAACAGUGGCAUCAUGAGCUAGGUCUAUUGCGUAGAUUCUUUGCACGAGUAGAACACAAAGUAGUUGUGGGCGUCGAUAUUGUUCAAUAUGCUUGCCGUUACUAGUCUUAUCUUGAUUCGGCGGCAUCGUGGGAUGAAGCGGCCCGGACCAACCUUACACGUACGCUUACGUGAGACCGGUUCCACCGACAAACAUGCACUAGUUGCAUAAGGUGGCUGGCGGGUGUCUGUCUCUCCCACUUUAGUCGGAUCGGAUUCGAUGAAAAGGGUCCUUAUGAAGGGUAAAUAGCAAUUGGCAUAUCACGUUGUGGUUCAUCCGUAGGUAAGAAACGUUCUUGCUAGAAACCCAUAGCAGCCACGUAAAACAUGCAAACAACAAUUAGAGGACGUCUAACUUGUUUUUGCAGGGUAUGCUAUGUGAUGUGAUAUGGCCAAAAAGGAUGUGAUGAAUGAUAUAUGUGGUGUAUGAGAUUGAUCAUGUUCUUGUAAUAGGAAUCACGACUUGCAUGUCGAUGAGUAUGACAACCGGCAGGAGCCAUAGGAGUUGUCUUUAUUUAUUUGUGACCUGCGUGUCAACUUAAACGUCAUGUAAUUACUUUACUUUAUUGCUAACCGUUAGCCAUAGUAGUAGAAGUAAUAGUUGGCGAGGCAACUUCAUGAAGACACGAUGAUGGAGAUCAUGAUGAUGGAGAUCAUGGUGUCAUGCCGGUGACGAUGAUGAUCAUGGAGCCCCGAAGAUGGAGAUCAAAAGGAGCAAAGUGAUGAUGGCCAUAUCAUGUCACUAUUUGAUUGCAUGUGAUGUUUAUCAUGUUUAUAGAUCUUAUUUUCUUAGAACGACGGUAGUAAAUAAGAUGAUCCCUUACAACAAUUUCAAGAAGUGUUCUCCCCUAACUGUGCACCAUUGCGACAGUUCAUGUUUCGAAGCACCACGUGAUGAUCGGGUGUUAGAUUCUAACGUUCACAUACAACGGGUGUAAGACAGAUUUACACACGCGAAACACUUAGGUUAACUUGACGAGCCUAGCAUGUACAGACAUGGCCUCAGAACACGGAGACCGAAAGGUCGAACAUGAGUCGUAUAGAAGAUACGAUCAACAUGAAGAUGUUCACCGAUGAUGACUAGUCCGUCUCACGUGAUGAUCGGACACGGCCUAGUUUGACUCAGAUCAUGUAAUCACUUAGAUGACUAGAGGGAUGUCUAUCUGAGUGGGAGUUCAUAAGAUGAACUUAAUUAUCCUGAACAUAGUCAAAAGGUUUUUGCAAAUUAUGUCGUAGCUCACGCUAUAGUUCUACUGUUUAGAUAUGUUCCUAGAGAAAAAUUAGUUGAAAGUUGAUAGUAGCAAUUAUGCGGACUAGGUCCGUAAAAUGAGGAUUAUCCUCAUUGCUUCAUAGAAGGCUUAUGUCCUUAAUGCACCGCUCAGUGUGCUGAACCUCGAACGUUGUCUGUGGUUGUUGCGAACAUCUGACAUACACGUUUUGAUAACUACGUGAUAGUUCAGUUAAACGGUUUAGAGUUGAGGCACCAAAGACGUUUUUGAAACAUCGCGAAACAUAUGAGAUGUUUUGAGGGCUGAAAUUGGGAUUUCAGGCUCGUGCCCAUGUCAAGAGGUAUAAGACCUCCGAUGACUUUCUUAACCUGCAAACUAAGGAGAAAAGCUCAAUUGUUGAGCUUGUGCUCAGAUUGUCUGAGUACAACAAUCAUUUGAAUCGAGUGGGAGUUGAUCUUCCAGAUAAGACAGUGAUGGUUCUCCAAAGUCAUUGCCACCAAGCUGUUAGAGCUUCGUGAUGAACUAUAACAUAUCAGGGAUAGAUAUGAUGAUCCUUGAGGUAUUCGCGAUGUUUGACACCGCGAAAGUAGAAAUCAAGAAGGAGCAUCAAUUGUUGAUGGUUGGUGAAACCACUAGUUUCAAGAAGGGCAAGGGCAAGAAGGGAUACUUCAUGAAACGGCAAAUCAGCUGCUGCUCUAGUGAAGAAACCCAAGGUAAAACCCAAACCUGAGACUAAGUGCUUCUGUAAUAAGGGGAACAACCACUAGAGCAGAAUUACCCUAGAUACUUGGUAGAUAAGAAGGAUGGCAAGGUCGAUAGAAGUAUAUUGGAUAUACAUUGUGUUAAUGUGUACUUUGCUAGUACUCCUAGUAGCACCAGGGUAUUAGAUACCGGUUCGGUUGCUAAGUGUUAGUAACUCGAAACAAAAGGCUACGGAAUAAACAGAGACUAGCUAAAGGUGAGCUGACGAUAUGUGUUGGAAGUUUUUCCAAGCUUGAUAUGAUCAAGCAUUGCACGCUCCCUCUACCAAAGAGAUUGGUGUUAAACCUAAAUAAUUGUUAUUUGGUGUUUGCGUUGAGCAUAGACAUGAUUGGAUUACGUCUAUCGCAAUACGGUUAUUCAUUUAAGGAGAAUAAUGGUUACUCUGUUUAUUUGAAUAAUACCUUCAAUGGUCUUACACCUAAAAUGAAUGGUUCAUUAAAUCUCGAUCGUAGUGAUACACAUGUUCAUGCCAAAAGAUAUAAGAUAGUAAUGAUAGUAUCACCUACUUGUGGCACUGCCACGUAAGUCAUAUCGGUAUAAAACGCAUGAAGAAGCUCCAUAUUGAUGGAUCUUUGGGCUCACUCGUUUUUGAAAAGUUUGAGACAUGCGAACCAUGUCUAUUGGUAUAUAUGCAUGAAGAAACUCCAUGCAAAUGGACCGUUUUGACUCACUUGAUUUUGAAUCACUUGGGACAUGCAAAUCAUACCACAUGGGCAAGAUGACUGAAAAGCCUCGUUUUCAGUAAGAUGGAACAAGAUAGCAACUUGUUGGAAGUAACACAUUUUGAUGUGUGCAGUCCAAUGAGUGCUGAGGCAUGCAGUGAAUAUCGUUAUGUUCUUACUUCACAGAUGAUUCGAGUAGAUGUUGAGUAUAUUUACUUGAUGAAUCACGAGUCUGAAUUAUUGAAAGGUUCAAGUAAUUUCAGUGUGAAGUUGAAAGAUCGUCGUGACAAGAGGAUAAAAGAUCUAUGAUAUGAUCAUAGAGAUGAAUAUCUGAAUCACGAGUUUGGCACACAAUUAAGACAUUGUGGAAAUUGUGUCCAAACGUCAUAGUUGCAUCCUAUUGGAUAUGGUGCAUACCAUGAUGUCUCUUAUCGAGUUACCACCAUCGUUCAUGGGUUAGGCAUUAGAGACAACCACAUUCACUUUAAAUAGGGCACCACAUAAUUUCGUUGAGACGACACCGUAUGAACUAUGGUUUGGAGAAACCUAAGUUGCCGUUUCUUGAAAGUUUGGGGCUGCGACGCUUAUGUGAAAAGGUUUCAGGUUGAUAAGCUCGAACCCAAAGCAGAUAAAAUGCAUCUUCAUAGGACACCCAAAAACAGUUGGGUAUACCUCCUAAUUCAGAUCCAAAAGCAAUAGGGAUUGUUUCUUGAAUCGGGUCCUUUUUCGAGGAAAGGUUUCUCUCGAAAAGUUGAGUGGGAGGAUGGUGGAGACUUGAUGAGGUUAUUGAACCGUCACUUCAACAAGUGUGUAGCAGGGCACAGGAAGUUGUUCCUGUGGCACGUACACCAACUGAAGUGGAAGCUUAUGAUAGUGAUCAUGAAACUUCGGAUCGAGUCACUACCAAACCUCAUGGGAUGACAAGGAUGCGUACUACUUCAGAGUGGUACGUAAUCCUGUCUUGGAAGUCAUGUUGCUAGACAACAAUUAACCUACGAGCUAUGGAGAAGCGAUGGUGGGCCCGGAUUCCGAUAAAUGGCUCAAGGCCAUAAAACCUGAGAGAGGAUCCAUGUAUGAAAACAAAGUGUAGACUUUGGAAGAACUACUUGAUGGUCGUAAGGCUGUUAGGUACAUAUGGAUUUUGAAAGGAAGACAGACAAUGAUGGUAAGUGUCACCAUUGAGAAAGCUCGACUUGUCGUUAAGAUGUUUUUCGACAAGUUCAAGGAGUUCACUACGAUGAGACUUUCUCACUCGUAGCGAUGCUAAGAGUCUGUUGGAAUUAUAUUAGCAAUUACUGCAUUAUUUAUGAAAUCUUGCAGAUAGGAUGUCAAAACAUUGUUUCCUCGACGAUUCUUGAGGAAAGGUUGUAUGUGAUACAACCGGAAGGUUUUGUCUAUCCUGAAAUAUGCUAAUAAGUAUGCAAAGCUCCAGCAAUCCUUCUGAGGACUGGAGUGAGCAUCUCGGAGUUGGAAUGUAUGCUUUGAUGAUGAUCAAAGAUUUUGGGUGUAUACAAAGUUUAUGAGAAACUUGUAUUUCCAAAGAAGUGAGUGGGAGCACUAUAGAAUUUCUGAUGAGUAUAUGUUGUUGACAUAUUAAUGAUUAGAAAUGACGUAGAAUUUCUGGAAAGCAUAUAGGGUUAUUUGGAAAGUGUUUUCAAUGGAAAACCUAGAUUAAGCUACUUGAACAUUGAGCAUCAAGAUCUAUAAGGAUAGAUCAAAACGCUUAAUAGUACUUUCAAAUGAGCACAUGCCUUGACGUGAUCUUGAAGGUGUUCAAGAUGGAUCAGUCAAAGAAGGAGUUCUUGCCUGAGUUGUAAGGUAUGAAGUUAAGACUUAAAGCUCGACCAUGGCAGAAUAGAGAGAAAGGAACGAAGGUCGUCCCCUAUGCUUAAGACAUAGGCUCUACAGUAUGCUAUGCUGUGUACCGCACCUGAAGUGUGCUUUACCAUGAGUCAGUCAAGGGGUACAAGAGUGAUCCAAGAAUGGAUCACAGGACAGCGGUCAAAGUUAUCCUUAGUAACUAGUGGACUAAGGAAUUUUCUCAAUCAUGGAGGUGGUAAAAGAGUUCGUCGUAAAGGGUUACGUCGAUGCAAGCUUAACACCUAUCCGGAUAGCUCUGAGUAGAGAUACCGGAUACGUAUAAUGGAGCAACAAUUUGGAAUAGCUCCAAGUAGAACAGUUAUUUGGAAUAGCUCCAAAUAGAACGUGGUAGCUGCAUCUAGGAGAUGACAUAGAGAUUUGUAAAGCACACACGGAUCUGAAAGGUUCAAACCCGUUGACUAUAACCUCUCUCACAAGCAUAACAUGAUCAAACCCAGAACUCAUCGAGUGUUAAUCACAUGGUAAAUGUGAACUAGAUUAUUGACUCUAGUAAACUCUUUGGGUGUUAGUCACAUGGGGAUGUGACCUUGAGUGUUAAUCACAUAUCGAUGUGAACUAGAUUAUUGACUCUAGUGCAAGUGGGAGACUGUUGGAAAUAUGCCCUAGAGGCAAUAAUAAAUUGAUUAUUAUUAUAUUUCCUUGUUCAUGAUAAUCGUUUAUUAUCCAUGCUAGAAUUGUAUUGAUAGGAAACUCAGAUACAUGUGUGGAUACAUAGACAACACCAUGUCCCUAGUAAGCCUCUAGUUGAGUAGCUCGUUAAUCAAUAGAUGGUUACGGUUUCCUGACCAUGGACAUUGGAUGUCGUUGAUAACGGGAUCACAUCAUUAGGAGAAUGAUGUGAUGGACAAGACCCAAUCCUAAGCCUAGCACAAGAUCAUGUAGUUCGUAUGCUAAAGCUUUUCUAAUGUCAAGUAUCAUUUCCUUAGACCAUGAGAUUGUGCAACUCCCGGAUACCGUAGGAGUGCUUUGGGUGUGCCAAACGUCACAACGUAACUGGGUGGCUAUAAAGGUACACUACGGGUAUCUCUGAAAGUGUCUGUUGGGUUGGCACGAAUCGAGAUUGGGAUUUUGUCACUCCGUGUAAACGGAGAGGUAUCUCUGGGCCCACUCGGUAGGACAUCAUCAUAAUGUGCACAAUGUGACCAAGGGGUUGAUCACGGGAUGAUGUGUUACGGAACGAGUAAAGAGACUUGCCGGUAACGAGAUUGAACAAGGUAUCGGUAUACCGACGAUCGAAUCUCGGGCAAGUACCAUACCGCUAGACAAAGGGAAUUGUAUACGGGAUUGAUUGAGUCCUUGACAUUGUGGUUCAUCCGAUGAGAUCAUCGUGGAACAUGUGGGAGCCAACAUGGGUAUCCAGAUCCCGCUGUUGGUUAUUGACCGGAGAACAUCUCGGUCAUGACUACAUGUCUCCCGAACCCGUAGGGUCUACACACUUAAGGUUCGAUGACGCUAGGGUUAUAAAGGAAGUUUGUAUGUGGUUUCCGAAUGUUGUUCGGAGUCCCAGAUGAGAUCCCGGACGUCACGAGGAGUUCCGGAAUGGUCCGGAGGUAAAGAUUUAUAUAUAGGAAGUCCUGUUUCGGCCAUCGGGACAAGUUUCGGGGUCAUCGGUAUUGUACCGGGACCACCGGAAGGGUCCCGGGGGCCCACCGGGUGGGGCCACCUGCCCCGGGGGGCCACAUGGGCUGUAGGGGGUGCGCCUUGGCCUACAUGGGCCAAGGGCACCAGCCCCUAGAGGCCCAUGCGCCAAGAUAUAGGAAAAAGGGGAGAGUCCUAAAGGGGGAAGGCACCUCCGAGGUGCCUUGGGGAGGAUGGACUCCUCCCCCCCUCUUAGCCGCACCCCUUCCUUGGAGGAAGGGGCAAGGCUGCGCCUCCCCCCUCUCCCCUGCCCCUAUAUAUAGUGGAGGGGAGGGAGGGCAUCCAUACCUGAGCCCUUGGCGCCUCCCUCCCUCCCGUGACACCUCCUCCUCUCCCGUAGGUGCUUAGUGAAGCCCUGCAGGAUUGCCACGCUCCUCCAUCACCACCACGCCGUUGUGCUGCUGCUGGAUGGAGUCUUCCUCAACCUCUCCCUCUCUCCUUGCUGGAUCAAGGCGUGGGAGACAUCGUCGAGCUGUACGUGUGUUGAACGCGGAGGUGCCGUCCGUUCGGCACUAGGAUCAUCGGUGAUCUGAAUCACGACGAGUACGACUCCAUCAACCCCGUUCACUUGAACGCUUCCGCUUAGCGAUCUACAAGGGUAUGUAGAUGCACUCUCCUUCCCCUCGUUGCUGGUUUCUCCAUAGAUAGAUCUUGGUGACACGUAGGAAAAUUUUGAAUUUCUGCUACGUUCCCCAACAGCUAAGCCCCCGAGUGGGAGGUUUGCUCUCCACUCGGUUGGAUUUUUUCAAACUUAGGCGAGUGCCAGACUGCGGCUAAGUCUCUAGGCGAGAGAACUUAGGCGAGUGCUAGACUGCAGCUAAGCCCCCGAGUGUAGGAUUUUUUCAAACUUAGGCGAGUGCCGGACUGCAGCUAAGUCUCUAGGCGAGAGAUCUUAGGCGAGUGUUGGACUGCAGCUAAGCCCCCGAGUGGGAGGAUCGCUCUCCACUCGGUAGGAUUUUUUCAAACUUAGGCGAAACGGAUUCGCAGCUAAGUCACCCACUGGGGGAUUCCGUAUGUAAACAAAAGUGACGAUAAUUAAUGGAACACUCUUGCCUUUGAUAAAAACGAACUGCAGGAAUUUUUCUUAUUACAUCUCGUCCAAGGGAGAGCUCAAGUGUAAAAGGGGCAGAGUAGUUCCGCAUUCCAAGCUCGAGGCUCGUUGACCUGGCGAUCAACAUUGUAGAGGUGAUACGCUCCAUUGUGGAGGACUCUGGUGAUGAUGAAGGGGCCUUCCCAAGUAGGAGCAAGCUUGUGUGGUUUCUGUUGAUCCACUCGGAGGACCAAAUCUCCUUCUUGGAAGGCUCGACUCUUCACAUUCCGGGCGUGGAAUUGACGCAAGUCUUGCUGAUAAAUGGUCGAUCUGAUCAUGGCCAUCUCCCUCUCUUCUUCUAGGAGGUUGACUGCGUCUUGCCGGGCCUGUUCUGCUUCAUCUUCGGUGUAAAGCUCGACUCGGGGCGCGUUGUGAAGAAGAUCACUUGGCAGAACCGCUUCGGCUCCAUAGACCAGAAAGAAUGGAGUUCUUCCAGUCGACCGGUUAGGGGUGGUCCUCAAUCCCCACAGAACUGACGGAAGCUCGUCGACCCAAGCACCUGCCGCGUGCUUGAGAUCACGCAUCAGUCGAGGCUUCAGUCCUUUGAGAAUCAAACCAUUUGCUCUUUCAGCUUGUCCAUUCGACUGAGGAUGUGCGACCGACACGUAGUCGACUCGCGUGCCUUGAGAGGCGCAAAAAGCUCUGAACUGGUCCGAAUCAAAGUUUGACCCAUUGUCAGUGAUGAUGCUAUGAGGGACUCCAUAUCUGAAUGUUAGUCCUCUGACGAAACUGAUAGCAGUGCCAGCAUCGAGGUUCUUGAUAGGCUUGGCUUCAAUCCAUUUGGUGAACUUGUUGACUGCCACAAGCACAUGCGUGAAUCCGCUCCUGCCUGUUCUCAGUGGACCAACCAUGUCCAGUCCCCAGACAGCAAAGGGCCAGACGAGUGGAAUGGUCUUCAGGGUUGAUGCAGGCUUGUGUGACAUGUUGGAGUAGAACUGGCAGCCUUCACACUUGUCGACUAUCUCUUUUGCCAUCUCAUUUGCUCUAGGCCAGUAAAAUCCCGCUCGGUAUGCUUUAGACACAAUGGUCUGAGAGGACGCAUGGUGGCCACAGGUCUUCGAGUGGAUAUCAUCAAGGAUUAUCCGACCUUCUUCUGGUGUUAUGCACUUCUGACCGAUUCCAGUCGGGCUUUCUCUAUACAACUGCCCCUUUAUGACUGUGAAGGCCUUGGAUCGGCGGACGAUCUGUCGAGCCUCUUCCUCGUCUUCUGGGAGCUCUUUCCUUAGGAUAUACGCGAUGUACGGUAUCGUCCAGUCAAGAGUGAUUGCCAAGACUUCCAUGAUUAGGUCGACCAUAGCAGGAACUUCGACUUCAGUCGGAUCUGUGGCACUUUUUGGUUGUGGGGCUUCUUCUGUGAAAGGAUCCUCCUGGACUGACGGCGAGCGGAUGUGCUCCAGAAACACAUUGCUGGGAAUGGCUUCUCUCUUGGAGCCUAUUUUUGCCAGAUCAUCAGCUGCUUGGUUUUUCAGUCGGGGGAUGUGAUGAAGCUCUAACCCUUCAAAUUUCUUUUCUAGCUUUCUCACUGCAUUGCAAUAACCAGUCAUAGCUGGACUUCUGACGUCCCACUCCAUCACCUGAUUAACCACCAAAUCUGAGUCGCCAUAGACCAUGAGGCGACGGACGCCGAGUGAAAUGGCCAUGCACAACCCAUACAAAAGUGCUUCAUACUCUGCUUCAUUGUUGGAGGAAUCGAAGUGAAUCUGGAGAACAUAUCUGAGCCUAUCUCCUCGGGGGGAGACUAGAACUACCCCAGCACCGGAACCAUUCAGCAUCUUAGAUCCAUCGAAGAACAUGGUCCAGUGCUCCGAGUGAACUUGAGUCGGCAGUUGCUGUUCAAUCCACUCGGCGAUGAAAUCUGCGAUUGCUUGGGACUUGAUAGCCUUCUUUGCUUCAAACUUGAUAUCUAAGGGAAGGAGUUCAAUUGCCCACUUGGCCACUCGACCAGUUGCAUCUCUGUUAUGCAGAAUCUCUGACAGUGGGGCAUCGCUGACGACUAUAAUGGAGUGGUCAGAGAAGUAAUGUGCAACCUUCUUGGUGGUCAUAUAAAUCCCAUAUACAAGCUUCUGGUAGUGAGGGUAUCUUUGUUUUGAAGGUGUCAAAACUUCAGACACAUAAUAGACUGAGCGCUGAACUCUGAAGGCCUUUCCUUCUUCUUCCCGCUCGACCGUAAGUACUAUGCUGACAACUUGCCCUGUGGCUGCAAUGUAAAGCAGCAGAGGCUCUUUGCUGAUUGGGGCGGCAAGCACCGGCUGGGUGGAGAGCAGAGCUUUGAGCUCUGCAAAUGCUGCAUCAGCUUCCGGAGUCCACUCGAACUUGUCAGACUUCUUCAUCAGUCGGUAAAGGGGCAACGCCUUUUCACCGAGAGGAGAAAUGAAUCGACUUAGGGCGGCCAAGCAGCCUGUAAGCUUUUGGACGUCGUGCACGCGAACGGAGCGCUUCAUCCGGAGUAUGGUGCCAACUUUUUCAGGAUUGGCGUCGAUCCCCCGUUCGGAAACGAGAAAACCGAGUAACUUUCCACCUGGAACUCCGAAUGUGCACUUUGAUGGAUUGAGCUUGAUAUCAUACCUCCUAAGGUUGACAAAGGUUUCGGCAAGGUCAGCUCGCAGGUCGGAACCUUUGCGUGACUUGACCACAAUAUCAUCCAUGUAUGCCUCCAUAUUCCGACUGAUUUGAGUGAGUAAACACUUCUGAAUCAUUCUCAUGAACGUGGCUCCGGCGUUCUUGAGGCCGAACGGCAUGGUGACAUAACAGAAGCAUCCGAAUGGGGUGAUGAAAGCUGUUUUGAUUUCGUCGGGUCCAUACAGACGAAUCUGAUGGUACCCGGAAUAAGCAUCUAGAAAAGACAAUCUCUCGCACCCCGCAGUCGAGUCGACUAUUUGGUCGAUGCGCGGGAGAGGAAAAUGAUCUUUCGGGCAGGCCCGAUUGAUAUGUUUGAAAUCAAUGCACAUGCGAAGUGACUUGUCCUUCUUGGGGACCAUGACGACAUUGGCGAGCCACUCGGAGUGGUAAAUCUCUCGGAUAAACUCCGCUGCUAAGAGCCGAGCCACCUCCUCGCCAAUGGCUUUCCUCUUCUGGACGGCGGACCGUCGAAGAUGUUCUUCCACAGGCUUGAACUUCGGGUUGACUCGUAGACGGUGCUCAGCCAGCCCUCUGGGAACUCCAGGCAUGUCAGAGGGUUUCCAUGCGAAGAUGUCCCAGUUCUCACGGAGGAUCUGGAUGAGCGCUUCUUCCUAUUUGGAGUCAAGCGUCGUUGAGAUGUGAGUCGGGGCAGCAUCGGGGUCGGUCGGGUGAAUGUGGACUGUCUUUGUUUCACCGGACGACUGAAAAGCUGAUUCUGAAGCAGGCUUCUUGGCUCGUAGCAACUCGCUUGGAUCGGCAGUCUUUUGGUACUCUUGCAGCUCGACCACUGCCAUCUGAGCAUCUGCAAUCUUUGAGCCCUUCUGAAAGCACUCUUCUCCCUUCUUCCGAUUGCCUGUAACAGUGAUCACACCUUUGGGGCCAGGCAUCUUCAAUUUGAGAUACACGUAACAUGGCCGGGCCAUGAAGCGUGCGUAAGCUGGCCUGCCCAAAAUGGCGUGAUAAGCACUUUGGAAGUCCACAACCUCGAAUGUCAACUUUUCCUUGCGGUAAUUCUUUGAAUCACCGAAAAUCACAUCAAGAGCGAUCUGGCCGAGUGAUUGGGCUUUCUUCCCAGGAAUGACUCUGUGGAAACUCAUGUUACUGGUGCUGAGCCUGGACAUCGGAAUGCCCAUUCCUUUCAAUGUUUCAGCAUACAGUAUGUUCAGGCCACUGCCACCAUCCAUCAGGACUUUAGUCAGUCGAGUGCCUUCAACAAUUGGGUCGACCACCAAAGCUUGCCUCCCAGGGGUGGCAAUGUGCGUUGAGUGAUCAGACUGGUCGAAUGUGAUGGCAGUCUGAGACCACUUCAGGUAACUGGGUGUUGCCGGGGCAACCAUGUUCACCUCUCGGUUAAUGACUUUCAGUCGACUUUUGCUUUCGACAUCGGCAAAAAUCAUCAGGGUGGAAUUGACUUGGGGGUAUCCAUCGUCACUGUCUUCCUUGUCCUCGACUCUGUCCGACUCUUUUUCCUUAUCCUUGGACUGCUUUCCUUGGAACUGCUGGAUCAGGAGCCGGCACUGUCGAGUGGUAUGCUUUGGGUAAAUAAAAUUACCCUCUUCAUCCUUCUUGGUGUGGAUGUGACAUGGCAGAUCCAAAACAUCAUUUCCGUCUUGAUCCUUGACUUUCUUGGGCUUCCAGGGGCCUUUGGGUUUUCCUUUGAAAUUUCCCUGGGUUGCGGCCAGGGCCUCCCCAAGGGCGGCUGGCUCGGCCUUCCGCUUCUGCUUCCGACUGGAAUUGCCUCCGGUUUCCUGGGCGACUGCUUUCUGCUUGCCACUCCGGAGUCGAUCUUCAUCUUCUUCGUUAGCGUACUUGGUGGCAAUCUCCAUCAUCCGAUUCAGAGACAUCUCUCCAGUUCGACCGAACUUCAGAUUCAACUCUCUGUAUUUAACACAUUCCUUGAAGGCACAAACUGCUUGAUGGUCUGGCACAUUCUCAACCGAGUGAUGCAGCGUGAUCCACCUUUGAAUGUAUUCCCUCAGAGUUUCAUUCGGCUUCUGCACGCAAGACCGCAACUCUGUAAGGCCUGCAGGUUGCUUGCAUGUUCCUUCAAAGGUUGUGAUAAACACUCGGGAGAGGUCCUCCCAAGUGUAUAUGCUGCUGGGUGCCAACUGAUUUAGCCACGCUCUGGCUGAGCCCUCUAACAUGAGAGGUAAAUGCUUCAUGGCCACCUCAUCAUUGCCACCGCCAAUCUGUACAGCCACUCGGUAAUCUUCGAGCCAAGUGUCAGGCUUAGAUUCACCGAUGAACUUGUUGAUUCCAGUCGCCAGCCUGAAAUUGGGAGGAAUCACUGCGGCUCUGAUGGCUCGAUUGAAACACUCUGGCCCUGAAGCAUGUACUCUGCUGCUGGCAGGCGCAUCUCUGUUGUGGCCUUCUCGAUGAGCUCUGUUCCUGUCAACCAAACCUUGAAUGAGGAUGGAUCUCGCAUCAAAGCCUGGGUCUCUGGGGUCGACUGGAAUCCUCUGCCCAACACUAUGAGGGCGUCUGUCAUCUUGCCGUCGAGGCGCAUACGACCCACUCCUCGGGGGAGGGGUUGGCACUCGACGUCGAUCAUCGCGGUCGAAUCGGUGAUCAUACUGCUCAUUCCUCCUGUACUGAUCAUGCCGGUCACCACAUCCCUCACGCCUUGGGGGCGAUCUCGGGCUGUGAGCCGACUCGACUGUAUCUGUUGCGACAGAUCGACUGUGGAUCCUAUCCCGCGACUGAGAGAUAGCGGAAUUCUGGUUUCCCACCGCCCGGAGCAACGCUCUGAUUUGUAACAAGCCCCUGCCAGCCUCCGACUGGGAGGGCUGAAUUGAUUCUGCUAUACGGGCCGCAGCGGCCAAAUUCUGAACUGGGGUUUGAUAUACCUGUGUCGGCGGGAAGAGCUGGCGUCGACUAGACUCGGGAGCCCGCUGACGCGCUCGCUCGUCGAGUGCUCGCUGGAGAUUCUCCAGUCGAGUGCGCUCGGCCAAAUUAGCCAAACGCGCGUCCUCCAAGGCCCGGGCCUCGGGGGACUCACCGACGAUAGGGGUGUAGAGGGCGUCUUUCCAGCGGCGAAGCUCCUCUCGCUGUGAUGACGUGAGAGGUUCGGGGAGAUACUCAUCGUGGGGAUGCGACGGAUCGCCCCCACCCGCGCCUCCACCAGCGCGAGGGAAACCAGGAGGACUGUGCGUCCCAUCGACCGCCAGAACCUCCGCCGAUGGGUCGCUGCUGUCGCACUCGGAUGCGGUCUCCGCGGAGCCAGUCGACAGGUCUAACAGGCCGUAGAGGGAUUCGUCGGGCUCGAUCGCCGCGACUUGCGGGGUGGCCGACUGGCGAGCCACGACAUGUCUCACCCACCUCUGAAGUCUCGACCGACCGGAGCGCUUGCGCCGGUGGGAGGCAGAGCGGGGAGACGAUACGGGGGCUGAUCGAUAUUGGGUCGACGGUUGCCGCAGGAGGACGCCACGAACGCAUGCGCGGAAAUGCGUCGCACCGCGGACGGCGAGCGCGUCGAUGUCGAGUGGCGCCUCCUGAAGCCAGGCGGAGUCGUCGGCGAUGAACGUGAGCGCGCCGAGACGGAUCUCGCGGCCCUCCAUCAAAAUUCCGCACGAAACCAUGAUCAAAGGGGAUCGGAAAAAUCGCAACUUCUCCAAUCAGGCGCUAAGACUGCUGCCCCACGGUGGGCGCCAACUGUCGUGGUUCUAACUCUGACAGUGAUGUAGGGGGGUGAAUAUGGAGAGGCUAGAUCUUAGCUAUUGGAAAGUUGUUACACGCGAGGUUUACGAGUUCAGGCCCUUCUCAGAGGAAGUAAUAGCCCUACAUCUCGGAGCCCGGAGGCGGUCGACUGGAUUAUGCGUGUAUGGAUUACCGGGGUGCGAACCCUUCACACUGAGGAGGGGGUGGCUUAUAUAGAGUUCGCCGGACCCCUCCUGCCCUCAGUAAUGCAGGGUUUAAGGUACAUUUAAGGUUGGGUGUUACUGGUAACGCCCCUAAUAAAAUGCUAUAAUGAUCAUAAAGACUACUUAAUAGCCGACCGUUUGCCUGUGGAGUGACUUUAGGUCUCCUGGCAGUCGAGUGGUUGGCUUCAUAGUCGAGUGAUAGCUUCUUGGUCGAGUGUCUUGAACCCGUCGAGUGGGAUACCUUCAAGUCGAUUGAAAGGUGACUUCUUCUAGGGGUGUCCUAGGGUAGGACUCUUUGGUCAGGUUCGUGUCCCUACCCUAGGUACAUGUCUUCAUCACUCAUCCCACACACGUACACCUGUUCCAUUCCACAGUUGUAAGAGUUCUUCAACUAAUGGCCUUAGGUACACAUCAAUGUCGUUGCCGGAUUGCUUAGGGCCUUGGAUGAGCACUGGCAUCAUAAUGAACUUCCGCUUCAUGCACAACCAAGGAGGAAGGUUAUACAAACAUAGAGUCACAGGCCAGGUGCUAUGGUUGCUGCUCUGCUCCCCAAAAGGAUUAAUGCCAUCUGCGCUUAGACCAAACCAUAUGCUCCUUGCGUCAUCUGCAAACUCCUUCCCGUACUUUCUUUCGAUUUUUCUCCACUGCGACCCGUCAGUGGGUACUCUCAACUUUCUGUCUUUUUUACGGUCUUCUCUGUGCCAUCGCAUCGCCUUGGCAUGCUCUUUGUUUUGGAACAAACGUUUCAACCGUGGUAUUAUAGGAGCAUACCACAUCACCUUGGCAGGAAUCUUCUUCCUGGGGCGCUCGUCCUCGACAUCACCAGGGUCAUCGCGGCUGAUCUUAUAGCGCAAUGCACCACAUACCGGGCAAGCGUUCAAAUCCUCGUACUCACCGCGGUAGAGGAUGCAAUCAUUAGGGCAUACAUGUAUCUUCUGCACCUCUAACCCUAGAGGCCAGACAACCUUCUUUGCUUCGUACAUACUCUCGGGCAAUUCGUUGUCCUUUGGAAGCAUAUCCUUUAUCAUUACCAGCAACUUUCCAAAUCCCUUAUCAGAUACACCAUUCUCUGCCUUCCAUUGCAGCAAUUCCAGUAUGGUGCCCAGCUUUUUCUUGUCACCUACGCAAUUGGGGUACAACAAUUUUUUGUGAUCCUCUAACAUGCGCUGCAACUUCUUCUUCUCCAAAUCACUUGCGCAGUUUCUCUUUGCAUCAGCAAUGGCCCAACCUAGAUCAUCAACGGGCUCAUCUGAUGCCUCUUCUUCAGCUUCUUCCCGCAUUGCCGGCUCAGCUUCUUCCCGCAUUACCGGCUCAGCUUCUUCCCCCAUUGUUGUAUCAUCGUAUUCAGGGAACCCAUGGCCAAGAUAGUUGUCGUCGUCCUCUUCUUCUUCAUUGUCUUCCAUCAUAACCCCUCUUUCUCCGUGCUUGGUCCAAACAUUAUAGUGGGGCACGAAACCGGACUUAAACAGGUGGACGUGAAUGAUUCUUGACUUAGAGUAAUUUUGAUCAUUCUUACAGCCAGCACAUGGACAAGGCAUAAAACCAUCCGCCCGCUUGUUUGCCUCAGCCGCAAGCAGAAAAGUAUGCACGCCCUCAACAAACUGGGGAGAGCAUCGGUCAUCGUACAUCCAUUGUCGGCUCAUCUUCAUUACACAACACCGAAUAGACCAAAUUAAUACAAGUUCAUACAUAAAGUUCAUACAACACUUAAAUGCAACAAACAAAUAACUCUCUAGCUAAAGCAUUUAAAUGCAACAACAAAUGCGAUCAAGAUCGCAACUAAGGCAACAAUGGAUCCAACAGCAUAAUGAUACCAAGCCUCACUAUCGAUGGCAUAUUUUCUAAUCUUUCUAAUCUUCAAGCGCAUUUUCUCCAUCUUGAUCUUGUGAUCAUCGACGACAUCGGCAACAUGCAACUCCAAUUCCAUCUUCUCCCCCUCAAUUCUUUUCAAUUUUUCUUUCAAGUACUCGUUUUCUCUUUCAACUAAAUUUAAUCUCUCGACAAUAGGGUCGGUUGGAAUUUCUGGUUCACAUACCUCCUAGAAAAAAUUUCUAUGUCAACUUGAUGGGCAUAAUUUGUCAUAAACACGAAAUGCAACUAGUUUUAAAAGAGAAUAUAUAUACCACAUCCGAAUCAUAACAAGGACGAGGACCGACGGGGACGGAUAUCAAAACCAUGGCACUAUAUGUAUAACAAACAACAUACGGGUAAGAUAAUUAUACGAGUAACUAUAUAUCCAAAUCACACAAACAUCAAUUUUUAUAUAAAAUUUCAUGAACAAGAGGCUCACCAUAAGGUGGUGCCGGCGACGGGACGGUGCGGGCGAUCGACGGUGGUUAUGACGGAGAUUUAGAAGGCACUAAGUAAACCACACCUACAUAUGCAAACUAAGUGUUAUUUUUGACCUCAAAUUGCAUAUAAAUCAAAUACUAGCACAUAUAUAUAUAUAUCCUCCCAAAUUACUAAACUCACAAAUUAAUCACUAUAUAAAGCAUUAGAAGAGCUAAUCUAGCAAUGAGAGAUGAAAGGACAAAGUUGCUAACCUUUGUGAUCAUUUGAAUGGAUGGGGGCCUUCAAAUCUUGACAAAUUUUGGGCAAAAUGUGUGAUGAGCUCGAGAGUAAGAGGGGAAGAACAGAGAGAGGAGAGGGGAAAGGGGAAGAACAGAGCGAGCCCGUGCUCUCGGGUGGACGAAGGGUUUAUGUAGGACGACCUUUAGCACCGGUUCGUGCCAAGAACCGGUACUAAAGGGGCUGGAGGGGUCCCAGUCUGACAACAUCCUGCCACCACUCUCAUUAGUAUCGGUUCGUGGCACGAACCGGUGCUAAAGGUUCGCCACGAACCGGUACUAAUGAAAGCGGCCCGGCUAGCCGUUGGAACCGGCACUAAUGUAUACAUUAGUGCCGGCUCAAAUACAAACCGGCACUAAUGUGCUUCACGUUUGACCCUUUUUCUACUAGUGGAAGAAGUUGUUGGCAUGUGCAUGUACUACUUGUAUACUUUAGAUAAUCGAUGAGUUUCGUGGUGAUCCCUUCUUUAUUAUACUACUACUAAGGCCUCCUUUGGUUUAGAGGAAUUUCAUAGGAAUUCUAGAGGAUAGGAUUCUUAUAGGAUUUUUUCGUUUAGAGCUCUUUGGUUCAUAGGAAUGGAUUCCUAUUCCUACAUAGGAUUGGUUUCUAUCCUCCACAUUUCAUAGAAAAAUAAAAAAGAGCCUAGACUCAAUGAAAAAAUUCCUUUGGUGUCAACCAAAUGAUAUCUUGUUUCCUAUUCCUACUCAUAGGAUUUGAGAUACAUGUCAUCUCAUUUCCUACAAGAUUCUUAUUCCUAUGAUAAUCCUAUCCUAUGAACCAAAAGAGGCCUAAAAUAGAUAUUGUACUGUGUUGUGUUUUGCUUUGUGUAUUGAUCGCAUCCUUUCGUAUGAGAAUGUAGGGCACAAAGGGAAUCAAAUACUUAAAUGUUUAUGUUGCGUCUCCCGCAAAAAAAUGUUUAUGUUGCGUCCCCCGCAAAAGAAAAAUGUUUAUGUUGCGAAACUGGUUUUAUGGCCAAUCUAACGAUACUAUUCCACCUAGCCCACCUAACUGCUUCAUGUCCGGGGUGAAGACUUUUGUUUUGACCUUGAUUUGUUGGGCGCAGCAGCGGCGAACUUGCGUUGUUAUUUUGUUGAAGACGUUGUUUUCCUACCGAUGUGCUGGCCUUCAACGGUUGAUCUCGAUAAUUAGGAUGAAAAUACUUGUCUUGGCCCUUCUUUGGCUGGAUGUGACGGCGGUGUCGUGAGGACGUUUAUUUCUUUUGAAAGCGUUGCUGCAAAAGAAAUUAACUUAGUUAUAGAUGUUAAUUUCAUCUUGUUUGUCGUUGUUAUCUAUUGUAUGUACUUUAUAUCAGACUUUAUUAAAUAUGAUUGUGUGCAUUGCAAUGGUGCAGAUGCCAGGGAUUUCAAUCUCCUUUUCAAAGAAAAGAAAUUAACUACUCCCUCCGUCCCAUAAUAUUAGAUCGUUUUAUAAACUGUUUUAUAGCUUACAGAACAAUCUUAUAUUUUGAGACGGGGGGAGUGGCUUUACUACAGAGAAGUUUGUUUAACCCUUCUAAAGCGUCAUCUGUUUUGGAACUGAGUGAGCGUAUGAUAUGCAUGUAGCAGCCGGCAGACGUAUGCAUGCCAAAUGACAUGUAGUACUAGUUAAUUAGUAGUAGUAGUAGUAUAAGGUUAGAUUGCGCGACAUCAAUCAUUCAACACAGACCGACUAUACGAGGUACUGAUAGUAGUUUAUUGUCGAAGGGCCAUAGGCCGUUCUUGGUACGGAUAGUAGUUUAGUUAGUUCAUCUAUGGAUUCUGCUUCUUCCUGGACGGGGCAUGCUGUGCGCAUGCAUGGCUGCAUGUUUGAGCUGCAUUUAACACGCGAGUUCGAUGCCAGAGGCUUAAUUAACUAGUCUUGCGAUUAUUAUUGUUUGAUUAGUAAAACGUUUCAGGCUAGGCUUUACGUACCGGAUGACGCAAGGAAGGAAGAAGGAAACAACUCAGGGAAAUACUCCAGCUUAGCUCUAGGUCAGACAAACACACGCACAGAGGAAGCCGGCAGGCAGGCAGGCAGGCAGGCAGGCAGGUGUGUUUGAUUAGGUUUUAUCCUUUACAACGAAAUGAUGUUUCGUUGGUAGGCAGCUACACACACCACAACCUGAUUUGCCUCAAGAAUUUGCUCCCGAGAACCUCACUCCGGAAUUACUUGUUGUCAAACGAAAGAUCUACUAAUAGAGUGUAACUUACGCUUCGCUGCUCGACUUUUUUAUGUGUUCAACUAACUGCUUUUUUAAAAAAGGUGGCAAAACAUUCUCAUCAAUUAAUUGAGAAGAAGAGAGUUGUCAAGUUAAUUUACGAAAAAUCAGGCAAAAAUCGAUACAAAUAACCCAAAGCGAACUACUCACAAAGAAUGAAACACCGUAAUCGUCCAAAGGACACUUCAAACACACAACAACCACAAUCCUCGACACUUGCACAACUCAACGGAACUCCUGACAAGCACACUUACAAUGACAAGAACUGGGCACCCUCCAUCAUAAAAUCAUGGACGCCUUUCCGAUGGCGCUACUCUUCUUACUUUUGUUCCUUUUUUCAUUUCUCCUUGCUUGGUUUCUUCUUAAAGGGGCAACCACUUGUCUUGCCAGCUGGGGGUUGAUCAGCCACCCAUUUGUCAACGAAAUCAUAAAACUCAUUGAAUUUCUUGGUGUAGCUAUCGUCAACCAAGACGCUCGUAGGAGCAGGCACCAACACACUGGUCGCAUCGACGUCCUCGACCAGAGGGACCACCGACACGACAUCAUCGACUAUAGGAACCAUGUCACAAUGGACUCAGGCACCUCCACUUGCUCACAUGACGGAGGCGAAACAUGUCCCUCACACGACUUCACCGAUGAGUCCACCUCCAACUGCUCCAAAGACAAGGGCGAAGCAGGACUCGGGCAUAGCUUCCGUAGCUCGGGCAUGAUCUGAAGCACCGGAGCCUCGAGCACAACGUUCUACUCACCCUCAGUGGUAGGCAUCACAGGGGACAAGGUCGACUGUGACGAUGAAUUGUUCUCAGCACGAGGGGAGAAACAUGCAUAUAAGCAUAUAGCUCUCGCCCUUCUUCCAUAGAGCCAACACCCUUCACAUGAGAAGGGCACAACGUUGGAGUAGUUUGCGACAAAGCCGGCACAAGGGAUAGUCUGCUUAGAACAGUUUCCGCCCACUCCAGAAAGCUCCCAACCCGCGCCAGCCAAUCCUGCAGCAGAGUUGUCUGACCAGCUAGAGCGGACUGCAACAUCAUAUAGGGCGGAGUUGCCGAGCCAACAGAAGCCGAGACGAUAGACGCCCAAGACCCAUGGCGAAGAAGUGCAGGUUGUACAAAGAUUCCAGGAACUGUUUUCACAAACAGAAGAAGAAUGACGGGGUUGGGGAUGGCACCGGGAUGUCGGAGGAAUAGGGGCGGUACGCUGCAUGGAGAAUGGAGGAGAAGCAUCGGUGUGCUGCUCCAGGGUGCUACUCCAGGUCCACCUCCCUGGCGUCAAUGGGUGCCAUAUCGUGACCUCGAGGCAGCGGUUCACCGUGGACACAAUUUGCAUGGGGAUUGGCCAUGGCGGCGAGACGGCAGAGUUAUGUGGGCGUGGUGCGGGAAUUUUUUUUUGGGAGGUUGUGGGGAUUAUUUCAAUUUUAAUUAGAUUCAGUGCAUCAUUAUCAUUAGGACAGGUGGCUAUUAUUUUAAUUAAUCAGAUUUGUCAUUAUCAUUACCAUUAAAACUAGGAAAGCAUAAAUCCACCCUUGAUAAGGAAUUACCAACGUGUCCUCGAGCCAUAAUCUGACCAAUCAGUGCUAACCAUUGGAUGAACCUAACAUUGUGUAGAACAAUGUACCAUACAAAAUCUCUAAAUCUAUGUUUGUGCAACUAACAACAUACUCCCUCCCCUUAACACAGUAUAAGACUUUUUUUUUGAAAAGCUAUGAUAACCACGUUCAAUAGAUAAAUACCCCAAAAGAUCAUUUCCUUGGUGUAGAAACAAAGAGAUUGUUUAUCAACUUGGUUCUAAAACGAUGGGUGUUAUUUUAUUUAUUUAUUUAUUUUGCGAAAACGAUGGGUGUUAAUUACUGACUACCUUGAUGAAAAAGAGCCAGCAAGUAUAAAUGAAGAGCAGACCUCAAGGUGUUCUAAAACAGAGGACACGGGCGGCCAGUGCGGGGGAGCGAGANNNNNNNNNNNNNNNNNNNNNNNNNNNNNNNNNNNNNNNNNNNNNNNNNNNNNNNNNNNNNNNNNNNNNNNNNNNNNNNNNNNNNNNNNNNNNNNNNNNNNNNNNNNNNNNNNNNNNNNNNNNNNNNNNNNNNNNNNNNNNNNNNNNNNNNNNNNNNNNNNNNNNNNNNNNNNNNCAAAGGAACAUAGGGAGCACAUUUGUACUGUAGCAUACCCAACAAUUCUACUUCUUUCACAAGAAAUGACUUACGGCUCGGCAUGAAUGAUUUGUUCACUCUGAAUAGCAGCGGCAUGGAUUUACAAAAUGGGAAGAAAACGAAACAAAAACACAGAUGAUCAAUGGCGGCACGCAUCAUCACGUUUAGUUUAUUCACUGAGAGCAAGCAGAGUAAAAAAGUUAGUAAGACAGUUCUCUUAUCCAGUACUUGUACAGACUUAAUGCAUGGACAUCCCUUAAAAAACACCCUUUUUUUCGCCUCAAACAAGAGAGAAGUACUUUAGAGCUUCAGAGUUUUAAAUGCCCUUCGCUACCAUGUCAUUCUGUGAUGCCUUACAAUCCCACAAGUCACUGUAUACAUACAUUCAUACAAACAUACAUAUGGUUCUGAGGAGAAAAUUAAUAAUGAAACAAAUAAUGUAUUGAGUGGAGGUGAGCCAUGUGGUUUUAAUCUUCGUCACCAUCAACUCUCAUUCAAAACCAGUGAUCCUUGACAGCUGCUAUUGGCUUCAAGAGCAUGUCNNN